UCUAAAUCAGAUCAAAUGAUUUACUUGUGUGUUGGGUGUAUCCCAGAAGCCCACAUCAAAUGGAAAAUCACCCUCACCUCCCUGGAUUUGUUCAAUCAUACCAUCCAUGGGUCCCUUUUUCUGUGCUGCAGUUUCUUCUGUCCUGAGGCUUGCGAUAAGCAUCUCUCCAGAAGCCGAAAAGUCAGUUUCUUGAUCCAUUUGAGCAUGCUCAGCUAACAGGCUUUCCCACCAUAUGAUGUCAUCAUUCGGUUGUGGUGACGUGGAUCAGCUUACUGGAAGUACUUACUUGUGUGUCAAAAGUAUCCACAGCUGUAGUUUUUAGUUCAAACCUUGGCAAGGCUUUGGAGAACUUGUGAGGGUGAGGUUUUAUAGCUUUGGUUUUAGAAUGUGUUCCCUUUUUCUGUGUUGCAGUUUCUUCUGUCCAGAGGCUUGCGAUAAGCAUCUCUCCAGAAGCCGAAAAGUCAGUUUCUUGAUCCAUUUGAGCAUGCUCAGCUAACAGGCUUUCCCACCAUAUGAUGUCAUCAUUCGGUUGUGGUGACGUGGAUGAUGGCUUACUGGAAGUACUUACUUGUGUGUCAAAAGUAUCCACAGCUGUAGUUUUUAGUUCAAACCUUGGCAAGGCUUUGGAGAACUUGUGAGGGUGAGGCUUUAUAGCUUUGGUUUUAGAAUGUGUUUGGGGUUUUUUUCUCCCUUCUUCCUGGAACUGAACCUUCUUUUUCAGGUGGUGACCAUGCCAAUAGUUCUUGACAUCAUUAGCAGUCCUCCCUGGAAGCCUACCCGCAAUCAAGGACCAUCUAUACACGCACAACAUCAGACAAAGUAUCAACUGAACAGCUCUUUUGUAAGUUCUGAACAGCUUCAGAACUAAUAUAAUAUCAUUAUCAAGCUAGUACUUGAGUUAUUAUAGACUUGCCUGUUCCCCAACAAAUUGUGAAGCCUAAUCAUGAGAUCAACCUCGUCUAAUGCAAACUCUCCUCUCUUGAUAUCUGGCUUCAAAUAAUUGAGCCAUCUCAAUCUGCAGCUCUUUAGGCAUCUAUUCAACCCUGCAAACUCAAGAAAACGAAACUCUUUAAGCAAAACAGAAGUAAAAAAAACACAAAUUAAUACUGAUCCCUUUCUCUUUCAUGUCACCUGCUCGGAGGGGAACCAGAUGCCACUUUCCUUCUCCAUAUUUCUCAAUGCAUUUCCUCAGGAGAACAUCCUCUUCUUGGGUCCAUGCACCCUUUCUAACUCCUAAGCUCUUCAUCGAGUCAACUCAACACAAGAGACCGGCUCCUUCUCUAAUUAUUGAUUGAUAUAUAACAACCUCGAACCUGUUCUAUCUCAUGACUCGGACACCAGACCCCUAAUUGGUUGAUUCGACACGUUUCUUAUGGUGCAUUACCUGGCUUCCGAAUGCGAUGGACAUCAUGGACAAAGGGUGUGUGUCAUAAGAGAUAUUUACCCAUUAUGUAUCAACUUACUAUAAAUGUACAGCGAAAUUUAGGAAUUAAUUGCUGACUAGUAUCCUUUAUGAACAAUCUCUAUUUUGUGGUGCAAAUGUAUAAACUGGUGUGAUCCCGAAGACAACCACGUGCUACCAUAUUUUAAUGUCCAGAGGAAUUCAUUUGGACAUUGGUAGGAUGAAUGGGACAUUACGUAGAAGAUUUGGAUUCUGAUACCACUGUUUCCUUGACAAAAAGCAACCAAGUGAUGGGAACCUUUGAGGGCCACCGCUCCUCUUUCAACUUUAACAUUUUCUUUUGUCGACUAACCCAUGUUCACUGAAAAGGGAAGCUCCAUGGGUCCUCUACCAUUAUAUUAUGGCCGCUAUGCAGUGGCAGCAGCUAAUUCAUGGGAAUUGUCAGCGAAGAAAGGUACAAUCAUUAGGAUAUGCCUCUGGCUCGCGGAGGACUUUGUUUCUGACCAGUAACGUCGAUAAAAAUACAUUUUAGAACUUUUUCUAUUGUCAAUUCAAUGACCGGGUUCAUUCUCAACCAUCCAUCUGUUGCUUGGGACGUGUGUCAUUUCCUACAAUGUACUCUCCUCACUGACAAUUAUUUUCCCUCAAAUAUAUACAAGUAUAAAAAUUUGCAUAUAAAUUAAAAUUGUUUUAAAAUUUGAAAAAUGAUGGAAAUUGAUAAAAGUAUAAAAAUUUCACCUGAACCUUUGAAAUUUUUUGAUAAAAUAAGUAAUGUGUAGAUAUUAAAUUAUUAUAUUUUAAAAAAAUUAAUAAAAUAACAAAUAUGAGUUUUCAAGUGAAUAUUUUGAUUAGUAGUGUUAAGAAAAAAAAUUUGUUAUUGUUAAUAAAAAUAGAAGAAAGUUAUGAUUUUGCACACCAGUAAUUCCUUAAUUCUGCAUGCAUCAUUUUCUCCAAAGACCUUUUGACAUUAAAGAAGGAAAAAAGAAAAAGAAAAAAAAAGAGCUUAAUAUAGAGGCAGCAAUAAGAUAUCUUAUUGAAGAAGACGUUUUUAGACUUAUGUGGGAACAUUAUAGGCUUUAAUGAAAUUUUUAUAAUAUCAUUUUUAUCUUCUUUUUUUCUUAAUUAAAAAAAGUUGUUAUUCCAAAUAUAUCAUUUUCUAAACCUAAACUAUUUAAUCGGCGUGUAUUAUUGGUUUAAUGCGAAUUAAAAACCAAAGUUCCUUCAUUUUUUAUUGCUUUAAUGUGGAAUGUAAAAAAAUUAAUUGGUUAAAAGAGAUUCAAUACUCCUCGUAUUUGUGAAUUUAUCGCUUCCUUCUUUUUACUUGAAAAAUAACAUAUUUUUUAUUAUAUAAAUGUCACUUAUCAUCUCAAGUAUUUAUACAUAAUUUUAAGAGAAAUGAUUAUUUUUAUAAGAAAAAAGUGAGGAUAUUUAUACCAAAACGAAGCCAAAAAAGAAUGGAGGGUUAAACCCUAUUUGGUAACUAUUUUUUAAAACCGUUCUAAAAAAUAGUUUUUGAAAAUUAUUUUAUAAUUUUUUAUAAAAUAAAAGUCGGUUUGAAAACCUAAAAUAUUUUUAACAUAUUUUAAUAUUUUUAAAAAUAACAUUUUAUAUCCAAUGUUUUAUUUUUAAAUUAUAUUAUAUGUUUGUAUAAUUAUUUUUUAAAAUAAUUUUUUAAAAAUAAAUAAAAAUAAUAUAAAACAAUUAAAAUAUGUUAUAUAAAAAGACUUUAUUAUAUAUUCUUAGAAACAUAAAACAAAAAAAAAAAAUUCUAGUUGUAAGACUGUAGACCCCUUUUGUGGUGAGGGCCCGGAGAGUUGUUAUUUCUUUCCUUUUCAUUAUAUCCUUGGAAGGGGGGACCUCCCUGAAAGCAGCUGCAUGGUUUGUGGUGAGGCCCCGUGAGAGUUGUUAUUUCUUUCCUUUUCAUUAUAUCCUUGGAAGGGGGGACCUCCCUGAAAGCAGCUGCAUGGACGUGUAGCAAGAGAGGAUGGUUGGCCAUGGUGGUGGGUGAAUAUGACGGAUUGGCGGAAUGGUGCACAGUGGAGCGGGUGAUGGCUUGCUGCAGAAGACAGGAACAGGGGGGAGGAGAUAUUUAGCUGAAAUUUUCCUUUGGCUUGACGGGGGGGAAGACCUUUUUUUCGUGAGGCUUUUGAGAAGAAAACCAGAGGUGUGCUGAGAAGGAGGGGCCUCAACAAGGAGAAACCGGAGGAAGGGGAGAGCUUUCCAGGGACCGUGAGAAAGAAGCAGGGGAGGAAUCGCUCAGGUUUGAUCAUACCUUACCUUGUGUUCUUCACCUUUCUUUUAUCUCAUUUUAUUUUGAUGGUCACACUAAUGCUUCUAGUUGAUGUUUGGAUGCUUGCUCUGAUCAUUUAAUGUGUUAAAUCUGCUUCUUGUUUUCGUUUGCUGGGUCUCUGUCUUCCCUUGUAUGAGCUGUGUGAUUAUUAUGCUGUUUGUCUAUGUGAUAAGACCAUUCGGACCCUCUCACCAGCUUCUUUUGAAAGCUCCUUAAUUUUCAUCAAAAUGGGGCUUGGAUUUAACGGCAUCAUCUUCUCUUCUAUAUACUCUGUUUUUUUUUUUUUAUCACUAUCAUCCCUGUUUCUGGCAUUUUGGAGUGUUGAACAUCAUGUCGAAUCUGGCGAAAUCAGACCGUCUUCGCUUCACACCGUUUAUGAUCUCAGCCAUGAGGAGUGUUGCUAACAUUCAGGUAUGAAAGAGAGUGAUGUAAGGAGUGGCCAUGGGCGACGUUAUGAAGCCAAGAAAUAAUCCUGAGCUAGCCAAUUUUAAAACAGUCCUAACUCUGGGACGGUUGGGUAUGUAUAUGGUAUGGCGUUCUUCAUUAUUGAUCUACUAGCCUAGGCAAUUUAGAUUAUGGCCAAGUGUUCUGAUAGAGAUGGAGAAGCUAUAAGGCUGCCAGAGGACCAAUUCCAAAAGAUGGAAAAUCAUGCUCUGAACGAAGAGCCGCUGUAUGCUUUUAGAUUGAGUUGUGGAGCUGCAGAUACAUAAACAGAGGGCUGCGGAGGAAUUAUCAUCAUGUAAGAAGCUUCCCGACUUGCCUCAGAAUCAAUCAUCAAGCAAAGCCCUGCCAAAUUUAGAGAGAGUGGAAUCACUUGUACAGGUGAACCUUUCCAACAAUCAUUUGCAUGGCAGUUUACCUUCCACCAGAGCAUUCUUCGCCAUCAAUUCGAGCUUAGUCUCAGGAAACAAUCCUUGUGGUGGGGACACUGCAAGUGAGCCACCACCAUGCAAGAGGUUAAAAAUCCCAGUUGGAGGGUUCUUCGUCACUUGUCUCCUAGUUGUUUCGGUGGUGCUCACUCUUGCUGUUUUUGCCGCUGUGUUCAUCCUACACCGAGAUGGGUCAGAGCUCAAGAGGGUAGAACAUGAAGAUGGGAUGUGGGAAAUGCAGUCCUUUGAUUCCAAAGUCUCAAAAUCGAUCACAAUCCAAAGCAUACUGCCGUUUAUAAUAGAAAAUAAUGUGAUUUCAUACAAGGAAAAGAUUAAAAUGGUGAGACGGCCUCCCUUACAGCUUUGAUGAAUCGACUUGUUAUUCAUCUAAAAAAGGCUCAUGGAUCAGAAUCCUAUGAGACCAUCUAUAGUGUAUCUUCUGAAAUUGUCAUAAGAGGUCCAGGCCCACUUUUGCAUGGUGCGCCUCCCAAAUACCCCACUUACCCAUCUUUUUGUUCCCGCCACCUUUCCUUUCUCUAUCACCACAUGCAUCUCUCAAGCCCACCAUGCCCAUAUUUCACACCCACUGAACCCAUGUUUCUCUCAUCACCCCUCAUCCGAUCCCACACGAGCUCACCACCUUCAUGUGUUCAUUCCUCACUCAUACAUGUAUGGAACCAUGCAUCCAUGGCUGCCCAUCAUUCCCACUCCCGUCUCGUGCCAACUGCCCAAGCCAUUCCACUUCAUCACCUUUCCACCCCCCAUGCUUGCCACAUUCAUUUCUUCCAACACCCUUUAAACUCACUCCAUCCGCCACCCAUUUAACCCCAUUGCAAACAUGGCCACCUCAUACCCAUUUCUCUUACUCAUAAUUCCAUUCAACACUUCCCAACUCACCCCGUUUCCCCGCCAUCUCUCAAUAUUCCUUAACCCAUUUAUCUCAUUAUCCCCUCCACCAUGUAACCCACUGUCUUCAUGCCCCGCUAAUCCCAUACCCGUCACCACUUUCUCUCUCUCUCUAAAUCUUCAUCCAUACCCAUUUCUCUCACUCACUACCUUUCCGUUCUUUCCAAACCCACAAAACCAUCUCAUCCCGCCACCUUCCAUCCUCCGUUCCGCCAAUAACCACCCGAAGACUAAGAAGAUUCUACAGUUCCAGCGCUCGAGACAAAUAAUUACUGGCGUCUUUUCCGAAAGAGAACAAGACAAUAAUGAGUAUGCUGCACGGGUUGAUCCCUAUGUGACAUGCGGGUAUCCUAUUUUAAGGGGUGUCUAGGAAUUGAUUUGCAAGCCAGGAUACAUAUCCGCCACAGCGAAGUGCCUGGCUUACGUCAUUUGCAUCACAAGACAAUCAUGAGAUGCGAGUAUCGUUUGCAUUGGAGUGAAGUGUACUCUCCAUAAUUGGUGCUCUUGGAAGUAUACCUACGAGAUGAAGCAGAUAUAUUAUCUGUUUUAUUUGUGUUAAAGUAUAUUAUAUUAUGGGCUAUAGGCCCAAUUAGGUUAUUUGUAUAGUACUUGUACUAUACACUUGUAUCGCACAGUAUUUGUACUGCACACUUGUACCGCACCCUUGUACUGCACCCUUGUACUAUACACAUAUGCCUCCUAUAUAAAGACACUGAUGUAUAUUCUUUUAAUCACAUAAUAGAAUACAAUUAUUCUAUAUUUCUAACAUGGUAUCAGAGCCACUGUUCUGAACUUUUUUUUUUUUCUUAGCAGUCUUGUUUUCAUUAGUGUGACUUCCUUCUUUCACUAAGUCAUCCCGUCGUCGUCCUUGGGUUCCGGACCUGCAGCUGCCAUCGUUAAGAAGUUUCACACUGCACAGACCACUGCCCUUUGCAUCACCGCUGCGAAUAUUGCUCCGAUUUCAUUUUUGAAGGUACCAUUGAGAUCGUCCAGCGCCGAUCUACACAGUACUUGUACUGCACACUUGUACCGCACCCUUGUACUACACCCUUGUACUACACACAUAUGCCUCCUAUAUAAAGGCAUUGAUGUAUAUUCUUUUAAUCAUAUAAUAGAAUAUAAUUAUUCUAUAUUUCUAACAAUUUGAUAAUGGAUAAAAUCAUGGUGACUUUGUGGUCUACUCCAUCGAGAAGUCCUCUCAAGAGAUAGGGUCGUCUUAUGAAGGCACGUCGGAUUUUGACGGUGUAAGAGUUGCUGCAUGGAUAGUGCUGUCCAUCUCAAUUCCACUUUCAGAAGCUCGGAAGGUUUGCGGCAUGCUAUCUAGAAUUCUUCAUCGCUCUUGUCGUGGGAUUGAUUGGCUUCAAAGAGAUUGAAUUCUUCCUCUUGAGUUAGACAGGUUGCUCAGGCAGGAGGCUAUCUUGUCUGCUCCCCUCUUGGAGCCUAUACACAGGAUGAGGACGACCUUAGAAUACAGAGGGAAAUGGUUGUCCUUGCGGAAUGCAUAUGUUGGAGAAUAGCUGUAAAAAAGGAAUCAAACCGUCAUUUGGCAGAAACCUCUGACCAAUGGUUGUCACAAGGAGCGAACGCCUGUUACUCGGCCUCCAGCAUGGAUGAUGCGCUAAGCUGGAAGGUACAUGGCUGUUUACAAAAAACUUGCAGAGAAAUACCCCCUCCUUCAGACAGAGAGGAGGUGAGAGGCCCUGUUAUCCAUUCUCCAAUUCGCUCCGAGGAAGGAGGUGGGGGGACAAGCUGCUGUUCCGGGUUUUGUGGGAGUACCUUGAACAAUGGGGACAUGUAUAGUGGAAGGCGGUACAACUCGGGCACAUACGAUCAUAAAAAGCGUGUGUCAUACAACACCAAAUGUAUUGAGGGCUUUUCUUUCUCAUUUGACGCUUGUAAUAUCUGAAUACAUUGUUUUCUAAGUUGAAUCUGGGGCCCACUGUAUUCAAAUAUUUGACUCUUGGGGUGGUCAACUACCGCCUGAUAUGGGGGAGUGCUGGUCAAAACCCUAUAUUGGAAGAGUUGAGGUAGAAGAAGAUGGUGAUAUCGGCAUCAGAGCUACGAAGGAGGGUUUAGGGCUCCAAGCAGCUGGAUCGGAUAGCUUCAGGGCUGACUUAUGCUGGAAUGGGAUGCAGGGGUCCACAAGGAAAGAGAUAUUUUAUACCAUCUGGACCCACAACAGUCAUUGGUAUUCCAUAUUCGACCACCAUUGCACAAGACCCCUUGCAUGGCCACCUUUUGAUAGGCCAUCAUCAAAACCCGUGGCUCCCCUCCUUUUAUUUUCAUGCAAACCUCCAGAACCUGAUUUUCGAGGAUCAUCGUUUUUUUUUACGUGAUUUUAAUUCUUCACUUUUUUUCUCUUUUUCUUGAUUCUAGGUACCAUUUUCAACUAGACUUGCCUAUUUUCGUUCAGUUUAUUUAUUUAUUCAUUUAUUGCUAUUAUUAUUAUUAUUAUUAUUUUCAUUUUUUGUUUUCAUCCUUGUUUUUAUUUUUAUUUCCUAUCCUUGACUUUAGAUAUUUUCCAUUCUUUAAUAAAUUUGGUAGCCACAUUCCUUCUCGACCAAUAUCUUUCAUAAAUCCUCUUUUAUUUUUAAUGAUUUUCUAAUUUUCACGUUUAAUAAGCCAAGAUUUAAUUUUGUGAUUCCAAUUAAUGGAAUUUACGAAAUUAAUUCAUUGCUAAAAUAAAUUAGGUUUUGAUGGGAGCCUCACAUGUGAUUUUAUAAUUGAUUGAUCGUUUGAUUGAUUUGAUUGUUAUGCAUGAUCGAUCUAUUAUGUUCUAAGACAUGCAUGAUAUUGUUCCUUAAUUGUGUACUAACCCUCUCUCUUAAUAGCGCAUGGUAACUCAUUGUCCAGUUACGUACCCACUUUCACUCUGAUCAGUGUCUACGCAUUUUCUGGUUCUCACAUGUGCAUGUUUUAUUCUAAGUAUUCAUUGAUUCACUCAUCCAUUAUCAUGAUUACUUCAUCUCAUUAGUAGAGACCCGGUUUUAAGGAUUUAGAGGGGUGUUACGGUCUUUACCGUACCUUCCCAAUAAGUAACCUGACCUCCGAGCCUGACCUGAUUUUUCACAGACUACCUUUUCCAAAAUAAAGAGUCACACUUAGGGUCUUCUUUUUUAUUUUGUUUACCCUUUUAAAAAUAAAACAAAAAUAAGUGGCGACUCCAAGUCAUUUUCCAAUAAACAAAGUCAUUUUUAAAAUAAGAAUUGAGUUCGCCAUCGAGUAAAAAACGUAUGAGCCGAAACAUGGGGUCCACACAAAUAUAUUUUCGUGUUUUUUUAUUUUAAAUAAUAAAAAGUUAUUCUAAAAAACCAUGCUAAGCAAAUUCUUAAAUUUCCGAAAAAACAAAAAACAUAUAAGGUUACCAAGAAAAUUUUUUAUGAGACUUCUAAGUUUUCAAUGAAGAACCAGAUUGAGACUUCAAUUAAAAAAUAGAAUCUUAAUUGACAAUUAUAACUUUAAUUUAAAAACGAAGUAUCAAUUGAUAAUUAUGACUUCAAUUCAAAAACCGAAGUCUUAAUUAAUAAAUAUACCUUUAGUUCAAAAAUAAAGUCUCAACUGUAAUUGUAAUGAGAUCUUAACUAUAUGUUUUAAAAAAUAUAUAUUUUUGAGAUGCUCGUAUGCGGCACUUAAGAGACCAACAUAAAUUUUAUAAAGUAGUUAGAUAUGGGACAUUUUGGCCCAAAACUCCAGCAAGUAGCACCUCUGUUUUGUGCUGGGUACUGGACCAGACGACAGUGGUCAAAGCUGACUGUGACCUGGGCCCACAGGCUAAUUUUAAGCUGCACUCGUGACCAGCGCUUCCAGCGUGCUGGGUCAGACGAGGCAGCGGUGGUGAAAGUGGGCUGUGAGCUGGGCCCACAAACCAAUUUUGUGAAAAUCCAGAAGGUGAAAAUCGGUGACGUGGCACCGACAUGUUCCAAACCGUCGACGUUUUCAUCACUGAAUUUUCCAGCACUUCAGCCAUAAUUUCCAAGUACAUGUACAAGUUUUUAGGUAAAUUAAUUGUCGAACAUAUGAGAGUAUAAGUUUUGGAGCAAAUGAGUUGUACAACAUGUCAGAGCCUCAGUGGAAGGGAAGAGGGUUUAUAUAUUCAAAUAUUACUUAUAUUUAUUUUCUUAAUUUAUUAAACUUAAAAAUAAGAUAUUAUUUAAAAUUUUCUAAUGAAUUUUUUAUUUAUUAUUUAAUUACUUAAAUUAAUUUUUAUUUAUUUUUUUAAAUUAUAGAAUUAAAACUUUUUAUUUAAAUAUUGUUUAAUAAAUUUAAAAUUUAUUUUAAAUUAUCAAAUUUAUGGUUAAACAUAAAUAUUUAAAGUAUUAUAAAUACAUAAAAUAUAAUAGAUUUAUUAGAAAAAAAAUAAAUUAUUGAUGUGAAAUCAUGAUUAUAAAAUAUGCUAUUAUGUAGCAAAUAAGAUAAAAAAAAGAUUUGAAAUUAAGGAAAAAAAACUAUUUUGCCUUAAUAUUUGAAGUUAAAAAAAAAAAAAAACUGUAAUAUUGUUAUUUAAUUACUGAUAUGUGUUUGAAUGCCUAUCUCCUUAAUUUAUUAAGCUUAAAAGAAGUUAUUUGUUUUCUCUGUAAUCUCAAAAGAGACUACAAAAGAGUAUUAAAGUACUUGAUAUAAAUGAUAACUCAAGUCCUAUGAGCUUAAGUAUUCAGAUUAUAUUAAGGUGGUGUUUAUUUUUUUACUUAAUUCUAAAUAGAAAUUUAAUGCUUAAUAGUGUUAAAUAUUAGAUUGUUUAUUUUUAUAGUAUUUUAUUUCUAUUAAGUAUUAAAAAAUAAAAAAAAAUUAAUAUAUUAUUUUUUCUAUUUAAAAAAAAUUAAAUAUUUUGAUUUUUUCUAUUCAAUAAAAAAUUUAUAAUAAGUUAUAAAAAAAUAGAAAAAUAAAUAACCUAAAUUGUGAAAACAAUUUCCUUUCAAUAAUAAACAAAAGGGUAUUAGAGUACGCUAGCUAUCUAGAUAAUAAACUCAAGUCCUACGAGCUUAAAUAUUUAGGUUAUGCCUCAUCGUUGAAUUUUAUCUCAGAAUUUCCCAUGAUUCUUGCAAUAUAACCUGAAUAGUGCAGGUGUGAAGACAUGUAUGGCCCGGUAACUUUUGCUAUUUGUAGUCCUUAAUUAUAUAAUCAGAAUAAAAAUGCGUUAAAUUAAUCAAAUAUUAACUAGGGAGUAUGACAUUACACAAAAGUACGUGGGGAGGGAAGUAACUUGAUAUAAAACUGAUGAAAUCUCAGAUGCUCAUUUAUAUCAUGGCUUCUCCAAUGAGGCCCAUUUCAAAAGGAAAAUCAAAAUUCCCACCUCCAUUGGUAUCUACAGCUGAUGCAGUUUCGUCAGCCAGGAGGCUGGCAAUAAGCUCCUGAUCUUCAAUGGUAUGGUCAGCGAAUAGGCUUUCCCACCAUAAAAUAUCCUGGUUUGGUUGGACCAGUGUGGGUUGCAGCUCACUACAAGUACUGCCUUGUGUCUCAGAAGCAUCCACAGCUGUAGUUUUGAAUGUGAACCCUAGAAAGAGUUUGCAAGGCUUAGGCUUUAUCAGAGUGUUUUCAGAAUUGGUUUGGGCUUUAUCUUUCCCUUUUUCCUGGAUGGGAACCAUCUUCUUGAAGCGAUGAUGGUGCCAGUAAUUCUUGACAUCAUUCGCAGUCCUCCCUGGAAGUCUGCCGGCAAUCAAGGACCAUCUGGAAAAACAUAGCUACAAUUUUUUUAAAAGUGUUGAAUUAAAAUGAUCUUAUUUGAGUUUCUAAUUCAUGGAGGCGUUGUUUCUUUAACCAUCAGCUCCAGAAUUUGGUUUGGGUUAAGGAUCAGACAAGGAAAAAAAUUAAGGGAAGGUAGGUACAAUUCUUUUUUCUUUGCAAGUGAAAAAGCUUAAUUGAUUAAGCUUCUUUUCUUAUUUUACUUCAAUUUUUUUCUUUCAUUUUCCUCGUAUUUUCUCAGGAUUCAAUCCAAACUUGUAUCUCUAUUACCAAUCUAACAGUGGCUAUACUAAAUGUAAUAGGAAAUUAAUAAAUAAACUUGCCUGUUUCCCAACAGCUUAUGAAGUCUAAUCAUGAGAUCGACUUCAUCUGAUGCAAAUUUUCCUCUCUUAAUAUUUGGCUUUAAAUAGUUGAACCAUCUCAAUCUACAGCUUUUGCGGCAUCUACUCAAACCUGAAAAGGCAACUCUUCCAGUUAGGAAUAUUUAUUUAAGCAGGAAAAAAGUUUGCAGGCUUCCUCUCAUACGUAUAUAUUACCUGCUCGGAGUGGAACCAAAUGCCAUUUUUCUUCUCCAUAUUUCUCAACACAUUUUCUUAAAAGAAAAUCUUCUUCCCGAGUCCAUUUUCCCUUUCUAACUCCCAAACUCUCCAUAGCUUUUCCUCAACUCUACGUAGAACAUAUGCAACUUGUCCGAUUAAUUUAAACACUUGGUAUGUACUUCUUAUGAUUUGCGUGCUUUCAUUCCAACCACAGAACUCCAAGUAGUACUGAUUCUUAAUUAAGUGACAUGAGCUGGUUGGUAGCCUUAGUAACAACAGUGUAACAGCCACUUCAGUUUAAACGUGCAGUCAUUCUUAAGCCACAUAAGCCUUAGUAACAAUUCAAGCGUGUAAUUAUAUAUAUAUACACACAACUUGGGAUGUACUUCAUAUGACUUACGAUGCUUGUAUUCCAACCACAGGUCCCUAAGUACGGAUUCUUAAGUGACCCAAUGUUUUUUUUUUAUUCAUUUGAUGUGGAAUACAAAAGAAUUAAUUGAUUAAAAGAAAUUAAAUAAUCAUUAUAUUUAUAAAUUUAAUCAUUCCUUGAUUUUACUUGAAAAAUAAUAUAUUAUUGACAUAAAUGUCACUUAUCAUUUCAAGUAUUUAUAUAUAGUUUUAAAUGAAAUAAUUGUUUUUACAAGAAAAAAAAAAGAUACUUUUAUAAAAUGAAAAAAAAUUAAGGUUAAAUUUAUAAAUUUGAGUUUUUAAUGACCCUUCUAAUCAAAUACUCUAAUACAAAGUCAUCUGUUAUCAUUUCCUCUCUACAACUUCAGGUUUGUGCAUCCUGACUUUGUAGUCUCGAAUAUAGGCAUUAGAUAUCUUAUUUCUAGUCUUAGAUUUAGGUAUAAGGUUGGAAUUAUGAUAAGUGUUAAGUUUCUGGGAUUUGUUAAGGAGAUUUGCACAAUAUUUGUAGAGUUAUUAUUAUUAUUAUUAUUAUUAUUAUCUUGGUUUUUGUUUGCUUGAAUUAUUUGAUUGAUUGGUCAUACCUAGCUUUCUAGCAAGUUUGUUUCUAGUACGGUCGUUUUACCACUCUAGAGACAUGCGGGCAAGACAUAAAAGUUCUAGAUAUUCUUCGAAAUCUGUAUUGCAAUAUCAGGUUGAACAUUAAACAAAGAGAUAGUCACUGCAAUAGUAAGUGUGUGCUGACCAACGUUUUAAAAAUCCAAUCGGACCAGCUGGUCCGAUCGGUCUGACCGUUGAUCGGUCAUCAGUCCAGUUCGAUUCACCCCUUUGAACCGGCCAACCUCUGAACUGUCAUCGAACCGACGGACAGAUUGGUCCGACCAAUUUUUAUUGAACCGAACAAUUCAAAUGAAUUUUUUCCUUGGCUUCCAAAAUGAUGUCUUCCCUUUCUUCUUCGUUCUUCCAGAACGUUCUCCCCCGCCCACAGUUGACCGUGACUCAGUUGACCGUGACUCAAAAUACAUUCCAACAACUGAUGAAGAUGAGGAAGUAGAGUAUGAAUGCAAGAACAACAUUUGAACUUAACCCCAAAGAUUGAAAUUGUCUAAAUCAGAUCAAAUGAUUUACUUGUGUUGGGUGUAUCCCAAAAGCCCACAUCAAAUGGAAAAUCACCCUCACCUCCCUGGACUUGUUCCACCAUGCCAUCCAUGGUUCCCUUUGUCUCUGUUGCAGUUUGUUCGGCCCAGAGGCUUGAGAUACGCUCCCCUCCAGAGCUACAAAUCGAAAAGUCAGUUUCUUGAUCCAUUUGGGCAUGCCCAGAUAACAGGCUUUCCCACCAUGCAAUAUCAUCAUUUGGCUGUGGUAACUUGGAUGAUGGCUUACUAGAUGUACUUGUUAUUUCCACAUUAAAAUUAAGUGGGUGGCCCACUAACCUAGUAUUUAGCCGAUUAAAAGAAUACCUAAAAUAUUUAAACUGUUAUAAAGAUAUUUACCCUUUGAUGGAGUGGGUAAAUUAUUAUAAUAAUAAUAUUAUUAUUUGGAAUAAAAAACAGUUAUUCGAUCGAAUAACACGUUCAUAAUGGUUUUUGAACGUGUAUUCUUGACCCUCUUCUCUUAUCAAUAAGAUAUAUAUACAGAAACCCCUUCAUGUGCGGUGAGUGCUCUCUUCCAUCAAUUACAGAAAACAAUUCUGUGUAUUAAAGUUUGAUAAGGAGAAGAAGAGAUCAAGGAUUUAAGAUCUAUAAACUGAAGGGAAAUCUCUCAUAGCUGCGUGUUCUUCAAACGGUAUGUAAUCUAUUUUAAUUAAUGUUUUUAUUAUUUUAUUUUUCAGAGAUGAGUUUGAAUUCAAUGAUCUGGAAUAUUGUGUGUUAAUUUCUGUGUUAAAUGUCAACAAUUGGUAUCAGAGCAAGGUUGAAUUCAAAUAUUCAGAAUCAUUGUUUUAUAAAGAUUAAAUUUUGAGAUUUAUCAUCGAUUAAUUCGUCUCACUAAAAUGAAUAAAAAAAAUAAUAAUUAAACAAAAUAAAGACCAGCCUCAAUGCGUAGAAGGAAGAUUUUUAUUUUUCCUUGCAACGCCGAUUGGAGCAAUGCCGGUGAGGGGCGCUGGUUUGGCCGACUGGUUUGGCGUUAGUCCGGUGGCCGGUUUCAGGCGCCAGUCAAGGCGCCAUUGCCUGCGCCAUUGAAGGUGCCAUCUCACUGUUUUCAGGCGCCAAUCCAGGCGCCAUUGAAGGCGCCAUCUCGACGUUUUCACGCGCCAGUCUAGAUGCCAUUGCCGGCGCCAUUGAAGGUGUCGUUUCUCCAGCUUUCCGACGGCAGUGAAGGCGCCGUUUUCAGGCGCCAUCUCCAGGCAUCAGGCGCCGUUUCUCAGGCGCCAUUAGAGGCGCUGGUUGCAGGCGCCGUUUCUCAGGCACCAUUAGAGGCGCUAUUUGCAGGUGUCGUUUCCUUCUUCAAGGGCCAUUGGAGGCGCCGUUUGCAGCGCCGUUUCAGGCGCUCUUCAGGCGCCACUUUUCAGGCUCUCCAAAAGUGCCAUUUCAGGCGCUAAUCCAAAGAUCUUAAUUGAUUUAUUAUUUGAUUUGAGUCUGAACCUUUGUGAAAUUAUUAUUAUGUCUGAGGAAUGCAAGUAUUAGCUUUAGUAUAUUCAAUGAAUGCAGAUUUCUUUGAUUUUAUUAUGAUUGAUUAUUGAAUCAGAUGGUUAUUAAACAUACUAUUUCCUUGAUUUUUUAACUCAAAUAAAAGAAUUAAUUUCAUCUUGUGAAUAUUUUAUCUAAAGACAAUUUAUAAAUGUAAGGUUAACUAGUUUAGAUUAUUGCCAAAGCAACCUAAAUUAGUGAGCCUUGUAUUUAUUGAAUUGCAUAAAAGAAUAAAGGGAGACUUGUAAAAUUCUUAAUAAUUCUCUUUAUAAUUAGGAGAAUGAGACUAACCCAAAGGAGAGUCAAUUUCUGCUAAUUAUUAAUUAAUGUUUUAUUUUGUGUUGCUUAGAAAGGUAAAAUGGAUACCCAAAGGUAACAUAUAAAUGACACAAAAUAGUAAAGUAUUUUAAGCUCCCUCCAAGUGAACACUGGAUAUGUUAAAAUUUACCCAAAGGAGAAUUUUAAUGAUAUCAAUAGUUCAUUGCUAUUUAUUUUAUACUUGAGGCCUUAUUGUGAGCAUUGUUCUAUUUUGUACAGUUCCCACUUCAUUACACUCUCUUGCAUCUGGAAUGGCUGUUUUUGAUGGGUCGAACUUUUCUGAAUGGUAUGAAACAAUUCUCACUGGGCGUAUUGGAUCUUGACCUGGCUUUAAUAACGGAUAAACCUCCUGAAGCUACGGAUGACAGUACUCCGGAGCAGGUGGAACAAUUAAAAGCCUGGGCAAGAUCCAACAUACUCAGUUUUAUGUUUAUGAGAAUGAUUAUUGCCAAUAAUAUCAAGACCUCUCUCCCUCAAACCGAGUUUGCCUCGGAAUUUCUGAAAUCUGUUGAAGAGUGCUUCAAACGCGCUGAUAAGUCCCUUGCAGGCACAUUGAUGGCUGAAUUGACUACCAUGAAAUAUGAUGGUCAGAAAGGUAUUCAGCAACAUAUUUUAAACAUGACUGAAAAAGUUGCAAAGCUUAAGGCGCUAGGCAUGGGUAUGGAUGAGUCCUUCUUGGUACAGUUUGUCCUUAACUCACUUCCAUCACAGUUUGCUCCAUUCAAAAUCCACUAUAAUACUAACAGUGAUCAGUGGAACUUGAAUGAGCUCACCAGUAAAUGCAUACAAAAGGAAGUGAGAUUAAGACAAGAAGGACAUAAUCUUGCCCUUGCUGUAACUCAUGGAGUCAUGAAGAAGAAAGGAAAAUUCAGAAAAGGAAAGAAGUUUCCACCUAAGAAAAGCGGACCUGGGGAAGGUAGCCAGAGUCAUGAUGGAAAAUUCACGGUAAGUUGCUACUUUUGUGGCAAGAAAGGGCAUGUGAAGAAGGACUGUAACAAGCGUAAGGCUUGGUUCGAAAAGAGAUGUAUAAAUCUUUCUUUUGUAUGUUAUGAAUCCAAUCUUGCUGAAGUUCCUUCAAAUACUUGGUGGAUUGAUUCUGGAGCCACAACUCAUGUGACUAAUUUAAUGCAGGGAUUCUUUACAACUAGGAAACUAAAGGAAAGUGAAAAGUUCCUCGAUAUGGGAAACCGUCUCAAGGUUGAAGUGGUAGCUGUUGGUACCUAUCGCUUACUAUUAGAGACGAGUCAUCGGAUGGAUCUUUUAAACACUUUUUAUGUACCUUCUAUCUUUAGGAAUUUAGUUUCCUUGUCCAAAUUAGAUGCUACUGGAUAUUCUGUUUUAUUCAGUUUUGGACAAUUAAGUUUGUUGUUAAAUUCUGUUACAGUUGGUUCUAGUAUUUUAUGUGAUGGUUUAUAUAAAAUUUCCUUGAAUCAUGAAUUUGCACAAGCCUUGAUAACCCUGCAUUCAAAUGUUGGUUCAAAACGUGGCUUAAUUAAUGAAAAUUCUUCAAUCUUGUGGCACAGAAGACUAGGGCACAUCUCUAGGGAAAGAAUUGAGAGAUUAGUGAAGGAAGGAAUUUUACAAAAUCUUGACUUAACUGAUUUUCAUGUAUGUGUGGAUUGCAUAAAGGGAAAGCAAACUAAACAUACAAAGAAAUGUGCCACAAGAAGUAAUGAGCUUCUUGAGAUAAUUCAUAUAGAUAUUUGUGGACCACUCUCUGUUCCAUGUUUUACAGGAGAGAAAUAUUUUAUCACCUUUAUAGAUGAUCUAUCUCGUUAUGGUUAUGUUUAUCUAAUGCAUGAAAAGUCUCAGGCCAUUGACAUCUUCGAGAUGUUCAUAACAGAGGUCAAGAGACAAUUAGAUAAAAAGAUUAAAAUUGUGAGAUCAGAUCGAGGUGGUGAACAUUAUGGCAGAUAUGAUGAAUCAAGACAAAAUCCUGGUCCUUUUGCCAAAUUCCUUGAAAAGCGUGGCAUUUGUGCUCAGUACACAAUGCCUAGUACGCCACAGCAGAAUGGUGUUGCUGAAAGGCGUAAUCGCACAUUAAUGGAAAUGGUUAGGAGUAUGAUGAGUUACUCUUCUGUACCUAUUUCAUUGUGGGGUGAAGCCUUAAAAACCGCAAUGUAUAUCUUGAACAGAGUUCCUAGUAAAGCAGUUCCAAAAACUCCUUUCGAGUUAUGGACUGGUAGGAAACCUAGCUUGAGACAUAUACAUAUAUGGGGUUGUCCAGCGGAGACAAGAAUCUAUAACCCACAUGAGAAAAAUCUUGAUGCAAGAACGAUAUCUGGAUAUUUCAUUGGCUAUUCGGAUAAAUCGAAAGGGUACAAAUUUUACUGUCCUAACCACAAUGUGAGAAUAGUUGAAACCGGUAAUGCCAGAUUCUUAGAGAAUGGUGAAAUCAGUGGGAGUAAUGAACCAAGAAAGGUAGAUAUUGAGGAGAUAAGAGUGGAUAUCCCACCACCUUUUUUAACUCAAGAAAUUAUUGUCCCUCAACCUGUUCAACAAGUUGAGGAAAAUGAGCAACAUAAUAGAGAUGGUUCAUUACUACCAGAAAAUAUUGCCAUUGAAAAUGUUGUAGAGCCACCACAACCGGCACCUUAGAGGAGAUCUCAAAGAGAAAGGAGACCUGCCAUUACAGAUGAUUAUGUGGUGUAUCUACAGGAAUCUAAUUUUGAUAUUGGGAUAAGGAAGGAUCCGGUUUCGUUUUCACAAGCCAUGGAAAGUGAUGAUUCUAGUAAAUGGAUGGAAGCUAUGAAUGAAGAGUUGAAAUCUAUGGCCCAUAACGGUGUCUGGGAUCUCAUCGAAUUGCCUAAUAGUUGUAAAUCCGUCGGCUGUAAAUGGGUCUUUAAGACAAAGCGCGACGUUAAAGGCAAUAUCGAACGAUUUAAGGCCAGAUUUGUGGCCAAAGGUUUCACUCAAAAGGAAGGUAUCGAUUACAGAGAUACCUUCUCUCCAGUUUCCAAGAAAGAUUCACUUAGAAUCAUCAUGACACUUGUAGCUCAUUUUGAUUUAGAGUUACAUCAAAUGGAUGUGAAAAGUGCAUUCUUAAAUGGGAAUUUAGAUGAAGAUAUCUACAUGGAACAACCUGAAGGGUUUGCAAAGAAAGGAAAUGAACACCUAGUUUGCAAAUUAAAGAAAUCCAUUUACGGUCUUAAACAAGCUUCCAGACAAUGGUAUAUUAAGUUCAAUAAUACCAUUACAUCUUUCGGAUUUAAAGAGAACAUUGUUGAUCAGUGUAUAUAUCUGAAAGUUAGUGGGAGCAAGUUUAUAUUUCUGAUACUGUAUGUGGAUGAUAUUUUGCUUGCUAGUAGUGAUCUUGGUUUAUUACGUGAAACCAAGGAAUAUCUCUCUAAAAACUUUCAUAUGGUUGAUAUGGGUGAGGCAAACUAUGUUAUUGGCAUCGAGAUCUUUAGGGAUCGAUCUCGAGGAGUACUAGGUUUAUCUCAGAAAGGAUAUUUUGAUCGAGUUUUAGAAAGAUUUAAUAUGCUGUCAUGUUCAUCGGGUAUUGCACCUAUAUUGAAAGGUGACAAAUUAAGUAAAAUGUAGUGCCCAAAGAAUAACAUGGAAAGGGAGCAAAUGAAGAAAAUUCCUUAUGCAUCAGCUAUGGGAAGUUUGAUGUACGCUCAAACAUGUACAAGACUGGAUAUCAGCUUUGUUGUAGGCAUGUUAGGAAGAUACCAAAGUGAUCCAGGAUUCGAACACUGGAAAGCUGCAAAAAAGGCGAUGAGGUACUUACAAGGGACAAAGGAUUAUAUGCUCACAUAUAAAAGAUCAGAACAAUUAGAGGUUGUCGGUUACUCGGAUUCUGAUUAUGGUGGUUGUCUCGAUAGCUUAAAGUCAACUUCAAGAUUUGUCUUUAUGCUAGCAAAUGGGGCAAUCUCAUGGAAGAGUGAAAAACAAUCAAUUACUGCUUCAUCCACGAUGGAGGCCGAGUUUGUUGCUUGUUUUGAAGCUUCAAGUCAUGCUUUAUGGUUGCGGAAUUUUAUCUCAGGGCUUGGUGUUGUCAACUCUAUUGCUAAACCUUUAAGAAUAUAUUGUGAUAACACCGCAACUGUUUUCUUCUCUAAGAAUGACAAAUUUUCUAGUGGAUCGAAACACAUGGAUUUAAAGUAUUUAGUUGUUAAAAAAAGAGUCCAGAAACAACAAGUGUCAAUUGAAAAUAUUAGGACCACACUUAUGGUUGCUGAUCCAUUAACUAAAGGAUUACCUCCAAAGGCAUAUUUGGAACAUGUUAUGAGGAUGGGCCUUUUGACUAAUCCAUAAUAUGUAUGAUAAUGAAUGGUGGUUAUGUAAUUGACAAUUUGCGCAUUAAAAUUGUUUAUGUUUAUUCUUAUUUUCAAUUAUGGGUGCACGUUUUAUUGUUUGAUAAACAAGAAUUGUCUUGACAAGACAAAUUACAAGGGCUAUUUGGCAUUAAGGACUGAGUUAGUAAGGGUUAUUGAUGUGUGGUGCAUGGAAGGAAACAUGACAUUAUGGUUAUGUGACCGCCAUGACUCGCAUUUAUGAUCUAAACUGAUUCAGUAUUAUGGUAUAUGAUUUUGGACGUAUUGGCGAAGUUUAUUGAAAUCGUGAUCACAUGUCAAAUUUAUUUUCCAGUAUAUAUUUUAUGUAUAAAAACUAAAUAUAUUAUAGUUUUCAUAAUCGGUUUAGUGGGCCAAGUGGGAGAAUGUUAUUUCCACAUUAAAAUUAAGUGGGUGGCCCACUAACCUAGUAUUUAGCCAAUUAAAAGAAUACCUAAAAUAUUUAAACUGUUAUAAAGAUAUUUACCCUUUGAUGGAGUGGGUAAAUUAUAAUAAUAAUAAUAUUAUUAUUUGGAAUAAAAAACAGUUAUUCGAAUAACACGUUCAUAAUGGUUUUUGAACGUGUAUUUUUGACCCUCUUCUCCUAUCAAUAAGAUAUAUAUACAGAAACCCCUUCAUGUGCUGUGAGUGCUCUCUUCCAUCAAUUACAGAAAACAAUUCUGUGUAUUAAAGUUUGAUAAGGAGAAGAAGAGAUCAAGGAUUUAAGAUCUAUAAACUGAAGGGAAAUCUCUCAUAGCUGCGUGUUCUUCAAACGGUAUGUAAUCUAUUUUAAUUAAUGUUUUUAUUAUUUUAUUUUUCAGAGAUGAGUUUGAAUUCAAUGAUCUGGAAUAUUGUGUGUUAAUUUCCGUGUUAAAUGUCAACAGUACUAACUUGCAUGUCAAAAGCAUCCGUAGCUGUAGUUUUUAGUUCAAACCUUGGCGAUAAUUUGGAUAACUUGUAGGGCCGAGGCUUUAGAACUUUGGUUUUAGAAUGUGUUUGGGGUUUAUCUCUCCCUUCGUCCGGGAAGUGAACCAUCUUUUUAAAGCGGUGAGUAUGCCAGUAAUUCUUGACAUCAUUAGCAGUCCUCCCUGGAAGUCUGCCCGCGAUCAAGGACCAUCUAUACAAGCACAGCAUGCAACAGAUCAACUAUCAAGUACAAGCACCACAUGGAGGCUUUUCUAAUUUGGAAUAUAGCUUCAGAAUUGAUAUAAUAAUAUCAUGUUACCAAUAUUAUGUUCCUUUGAUGAGUCAAAGCUGGUGCCCUUCUUCCUUUCCUAUUUUUUUCCUUGGAUAAGUCAACCCUUCCCAUUCCACUUUUCUUCAGGUGUUUGGUCUAAGACUCUAAAAUCAUUUUUAAAUUUUGAUUUUCUCUAUUGAAAAUAAUAUUCAUUUUUUCCUUAUUUUUUAAAAUCUACUUAAUUAAAAAAGCAAAAUUUAUUUUUUGAAAGUACAAUUCAUUUAUUCAUUAUUUUUUCAUUUUCUUUAUUAAAAUUUUAUUUUAACAUCAUGUGUAAUUAAAUUAACAUUAAAAUAAAUUAAUUUUUAAUAUAAAAAUACAUUCAUCUAUAAUAAUUAAUAAUAUAAAAAAUAAAAAAUACUAAUAUUUUAAACAAUAUUGAUUUCAAAUAUAUAAUAUUCAUAAUAUUUUUAUAUUUAUAAUAUUUAUAAUUUUCAUAUCAUGAAUCUCAUUUUUUAUAUUUUAUAUUUUUGAACUUUUUUCUAGAAUAUUAAACCUAAAUUUUUAAAAAUAAAAAUAAAAAUAAACACCAUCCACAUGCAUAUUCUGUAUAGGUGGUAACUCAUCUUUAACUAGCUAGUUGGAAAGUAAUUUUAGAAGCAUGCAUAAGUUAUUAUUCUAAUACAUGAUUUGGAUAUUAUUUUCCCCAAUAUAUACUAUCCAUAAAACUCACUUUUUUAACUUCUUAAUUCAUCCAUAUUUUUAAAAUAAAGGACCUUUACAUGAUUCCCCAAAGUUUUUUUAUUGCAAUGCCGCAUUGCUUGGCUUCCAAAUAUACUGAAGUUCAUGGACAAGGAGUAUUGUUCAUAGGAGAUGACAAUUGGCAAGUAGUACAAUUAUUAACUCUCUACGUAAAUUUACUGUUAAGAUACAGUCCAAAUGCAGCCUAGGAAUUGCUAAACAUGUGGUUCAAAUGCAUAUCUUGGAUAGGGUUCAGGCAUCCUGUUAUUAUGACAAAUACAGCCAUGAUCUUCUAACAAAGCUGAGAUUGUGAUCGCUUUUAGGCAUCCUGUUCAUCUUGUAUUUGGGAUUCCAUCAAUUAAUUUCUUAGGAGUUCAAUCAUGCACUAAUUCUUUGAUAAAUAGGAAGAACGAAAAAUACAAAAUAAUUUAAUAAAAUAAACAUUUUCUUUAUUUUUAUUAGAUUCCUGCAUUUGAACUCCUGAAGAAUUCUAUUUAAUAAAAGAAAGAUAUAAUUUGAAACUCCAGACAAGUUUUAAGCAACAAAUUCUCAAUCCAUUUCAAAGGACACUGACACGGACCUCAACCACUACCAUUUAUAGCUGCACGAGUUAUGUUUAAGUUGGGACUUCUAAUUUUAAAAUUAGUGGGAUUGAAACACGUAGAGGAGCAAAAAAAAAUAAAGAAAAAGGAGAAGAUUUUAGCAAGGUUUAAUAAUUAGUGUGAUUUUUACGUUUACAAAGCACAUCAACACUAAAGAAUUCGUUAAUUAAACAAAGAAAUCCCGAGCACUGUAUUGAAAAUUUUGACAAAAACAUUUAAAAGACAACCAACAAAAAUCAAGAAAGCAACAUUACAUCACAAAGGUAUCGAAAAUUUUGAUACAUGAAAUAUUAGCUAGCAUAGGUUGAGCACAACUAUAUAUUUAAUAGAAUGACUUAAAAGUGUUUUCAAAGUCAAAUAUUCUAAUUGGGCUCGCUGUGAUGGGAGCUCAUUUUUUUUUCUUUCUUCAAUAAGCUAUGUAUUGGAUCCCAUGGGUGGACCAUCAAGGAUACUCUCCCCGAGUGAUUUAUCGUUUGGUUAUUACAAUUCUCAACCAUUAUUUUAUAUUUUUCUUUUUUAAAUUAAUCCUUAUACCAUCAAUUUUCACCAUUGCUUUCAUUUUCAAAAUCUAGUUUCUAAACUUUUUGUAUUGCACCAUCUUCAAUCCUUAAAAUGAAUUCUUGUGAUUUGAUAUUUAGCUCACCAAGUUCAAAUAUUACUUGUAAUUGACAACCCUAUGCUCAAAGUGAAUACCAUGCAUUAUGGAUGUUCAACCAAAAUUUUUAUGUUAUUAUUGGGGGAGCUUUUCUUUUUUUUUUCGCAAAUAAUAUGGAUUCAAAUAUACCAUAUUAAUUGUGCCUAGCAAUUUGUUCAGAUUUAUCCUUGGAUCUAUCAACAAUUUUAAAUGUCCUAAAUAAAAGGGUUUUGUUUUAAGGGACAGGUAGAUAAAUUGAAAUGAUUCUAAAUGCAGUGCGGAAAUUAUAGUCAACGGCAACCACGCGGGUGUCCUUGUCAAUAAUGCAGCAAGCGUACGUGUCGUCACCCUGUGCGGGAUUGGUACCAUGUGGGUGUCCUUGUCAAUCAAAGCCCAUCCUGCUGCCUCCUGUGCACCAUCUUGUACCAAUCCCCGUCUUAUGCAUGGUUGCAAAUUGUUGAGACGAUGACAUAUGAGACUGAUCAUUUAUUUAUCAUCAUUUUUCAAUGAAGGUACUAUUAUUAGGCUAUUGCUCUGGCCCAUGAAGUAUUUUGCCUCUCGCAAUAUUCUUUUCUCCACAAAAUAGCUAGAGAACUACGAGAUAUAUGGUAUUGCUACUUGACAAAAACAUUUUAAGUUCUUUUUCUGCUAUCUAUUUAAUGCUGGGUUCGUAUUCUCAGCCACCCAUCCCCUGCUUCUUUUUGAGUGAGUGAGAGAGAUCGGUCAGCGUCAUUAGAUUGGAUGAGUAUGGGCUUACUAGGAUCAACAAAAUGUGUGGUACCUGUUGGUUCCUGCUCAAUAAUGACCCUUUAAGCAGCCGCCCCAGCGCCUCCAAUUUUUUAAGCAGAAAAUUGUGUUUUCAACCCUUAUAAUUUGAUAAUUAAGAUAAAAUUAGAAUGGAUGAAGAGUUUUUAUUUUAAGUACUCAAUUAAAAUAUUUUUAAAUAAUUUAAUUUUAGAAGUGGAUUAUAUCAAUACAUAGUAUAAAUUGAAUUUUUCUUAUAUAAAAGGAUUGAAAGGUAUAUUUACUUAUUUUAGAUGAAAACAAGUAGUUAAAAAUUAUAUAGAUUACAUUUGAGUUUGGUUUUAAAAUAUUUUUCUAGUCUUUAUUUUUUUAUUUUUAAAAAUAAUUUUUAUUUUUUAUAUUGCCUCUUUUUGAAAAUAGCAUUUAAUUAAAAAACUGAAAACUAUUUUUAAAAAUGAAAAUUGAAAACCUUGUUUAGCAUUAUUUUUUUAUAUGAAAAUAAAAAUAAAUAAAUUUAUUUAUUCAUUUAUGUGAAACCAAGGUUUGGUUGUGAAACCAAGGUUUGGUUAAUCUUGAUUUUGAUGAUAACAAAACAAGGUUUAGAACUAAUGAUCAUAUUUCAAGUGUGAUUAGGCAAGACGACUUCCAAAGUGGCAAUCCAAAAACAAAUCAAGCCAAGGAGAAAUCAUGAAGAAGAAGACCACCUCAAAGAGAAGAGUUUUUUCAAGACCAAAACUUCUUAAGAUCUCCUUGUAAAGUUGUUGGUGCACUAGGACUUUCAUGCAUUUCAUUCUUUAUUUAUGCACCAAAAUCAUCUAAGAGUAAUAUUGUUUUAAAUAUCUUAAGAAUCGGAUGAUUUCAUGUUUUCAACUAAAACCUUGUGUUAAAUGAUUUUCAAACUUGUGUUAAAAUGUUUUAAGUUGAAAAAGGUUGAGUGUUGAGCCAAAAAAAAUGGCUCAACCGGUUCAAACCGUCGACCGGUUGUGCUCGUCCGGUCAAGGACCGGUUGAGGGAGGCCAAAAAGUUUUUCUCUCUCCUAGUGGCUUUCUCUUCCCGGUCAAGGUUGAACCUCAACCGGUUGAAGUCCGAUUGAGGCCCAACGGUCACUUUUCCUAACGGCUAGUCAACCGGUCGAACCCCCAAUGGCUAGUUUGGCUUUUUUCUUCUAUAAAAAGGCUUCAAUCUUCAUUGUUUUACAAGCUUAACCUUCCUAAAUCAUUCUUGAUUAUAUUUGAGCCUUGGAAGAGUGUUUUUGAGUGCACCAUUGUUUCAUAACUUGCAUAUCUUUAGUGCACCAUUCAAUCCUAAUUUUUCUUGUAUCUUUGAGUUUAAAGUUCUAUUACUAGGAUUUUUGUGAGAUCAUUAUUUGUAUAUCUUUGUGAGGAAUUUUCUCAAGUGAGGGGUAUCACUUGAGAGGUUGUUCAAGAGAGGGACAUCUCUUGAAGAAGUGUAAAGGGUGCUUAGAGCCAAAAGUCCAAGAGGGUGAAUUGGAACCAUAAUCCAAUUGUAAAGAGAUUGGAAGCUUGGUUGAAGCUUCAAGAUAGUGGAACCCUCACUCGGUUAGGAGGUUGAGGAGAGUGGACGUAGGCAAGGAAGUGCCGAACCACUAUAAACUCUCGUGUUUGCACUCUCUCUUCCCUAACUCUUUUAAAUUAUAUGCAAUUAUCUUUAUUUUGUUUAUUAUAUACUUGCAUAUAAUUGUCUCUUAUUUUUGCAUAGUUUAAAUUUGUGAAAAAGAGACCAUCACCCCAUUUACCCCCCCCCCCCCUCUAGGGUGAUUACCAUAGUUUGGAUUAGCCUCAAAUUCCUAACAAUUUAUUGUGUUACUAUACAAUUGUAUUACACUAAUCGUACAAGGGAAAUGUACUAAGUGUACAAAAGUGGACAAGGAUACCAUUUGUGAAAUAUUAUAAUUGAUUAUGAGUCAUUCCUUUAUUUUUCUUAUCACUCAUGUAUUGUCCACGUAUGUCAUGCACUUUAUUUAAUUCCUACAUGGAAAUUCUAAUACUUUUCCCAAUAAUGAUAUUUGGGGAAAAAAAUUUUGACCUUAAGUCAUCCACCAUCUUCUCAACUAAACCAUUGAAAAUAUGAUUAAACACUCCUACAUAUACACAUAAUUUAAGAGGGAUAUGAAAUUUGUGUUAUUAUACAAGGGUAUUACACUAACUGUACAGGGGAAAUGUACUAAUUGUACAAAGGUGCACAAGAUUACCUUUUGUAAAUGAUUUUAAUCAAUUCUAAACCACUUUUUUAUUUUCUCUAUCACUCAAGGAUUGUACACAUAUGUUAUGCACUUUAUUUAACUCUCACAUGAAAAUUCAAAUAUUUUCCCCAAUAAUGAUAUCUGGGGAAAAAAAAUUGAUCCUAAGUUAUUCACUAUUUUUUCAAUCAAACCAUUGAAAAUAUGAUUAAUACAUCUAUAUGGACAUAUAACUUAUGGGGGAUAUGAAAUUUGUGUCAUUGUACAAGAGUAUUACACUAAUUAUAUAAGGGAAAUAUGCUAAGUGUACAAGUGUACAAGGCUCCUAAUAGGUUUUGUACGAUUUUUAAACAACUUGAGUUUGACAUUAAGAUGAUUAUUGAUAGUUUUGUUUUGUUUUUUUUACCAAACUAUGUCAUUAAGACAUUCCUUACAAAAAUUAACACAUAGGAAAUAAAAUUAAAAUAAAUCAUAUUUGAAUUGUUCAUUAUAAGUAAACUAAAUGAAAUAUAUUUUUUUACUAUUUUGCCUUUAUAAACAUAAUUUUAUUGUUAUCAAUAGAGUUUAAAAAAUCAUAUUUAAAUGGAAUUAAAAAUAAACAAAAAUUAUUUUUAUAACAUUUUUUAUUUUUUUAAAUCAUUAAUUUAAAUUAUGAAAUUAGUUUUAAAAUUAAAAAUAUUUGUUGUAAUUAUAGUUUUGAAGAUUUCAUGAUUUUUAUCUUAUUACUUUGAAAAAAUUGCUUUAAGAAGAAAGUAUUUAUUUUAAUGGUUUUAAAUAUUUAAAUCUUUAUUAAAAAAUAUUUAGGAUUAGUGUGGAGAGCAAUUAGGUAAUUUUGGAAUGGAGAAAUUUUGAAUACUUUGAAAACUUUAAUUCGGCCAAUUACCUUAUUUACACUUUUAAAAUUAUUGGAAGGUUGGUAAAUUAGUCUUAGAAAUAUUGUCUUCUUGAUUAAUAUUAUAUAUAUAUGCAUGUGAGUGUUUACAUUAUUUUCGAAAUAAUAUGAGAAAUAAUAAACAACAUGUGUCUAAUUUGCAAGUUAGAAAAAAAAAUUAAUAAUACUUUAUGAGGUAUUUAAAAAGUAUUUAUUAUAUGUUCUAUAAAUUUGAAAAAAAAAUAUUCAUAAUAUCUAAUUUACAAGUUAGAACAAACAAAUAAUACUAAUAUUUUAUGAGGUGUUUAAAAAUUAUUUAAUAUAUAUGAGAAAUAAUAUAAGUUUGAAAAAAUAAUAAUAUUUGAUGAGGUAUUUAAAAGUUAUUCACUUCAAAAAUGUAUUUGACAAUAAUAAUUUUUAACUAUCUUUCAUAUUCAAUUUGAUGAAGAAAAAUGAUUCAACUUAGUUCCACUAUUAAAUAGGUGAGAAAAUGGUAAAAGAGUUAAAGAGGGAAUGAGAAAGGUAAAGUGAUUGGUUAGUUUUUUCAUUUAAUAGUUAAGGGUAUUUUGGGGAUUUUUUUUAAAGACAAUAUCCUUCCUUUCGAUUUCUACUAUUUCAUUGGGUUUUAAGUUUAAUUAUGAGUGAUAUUAUGACCUUACCUCAAUUACCCAAUUUAGCUGGCUGAAAACACAAUUCUCCAUUUUUUAUGAUUCUGCAAAAAGAUAUGUUUGGAUUUGUUUGGGCAAAUCUCUCCCAUGGCCAAGGCAACUUACAGGAUUUUUGAGGAAUAGAUUUAUGAGGGACCUAUUCUUUAUAUCUGCAUUUCUUGUCACAUUGUGAUUAUAUACGCCGAGCUUUAUAAUUUCCUUCAGGUCAUUAUAACUCCUUUUUAUCUUCACAUUUAGGACAUGUUUGGUACUUGGGAUGAGAAGUGGGAAUGAUCCUGUCAUCUCUUCCCAUGUUUGGAUGAUUCAAAUAUUAAUAGGAAUGGAAUUAAGAACGAUUCCAAAUAUAAUGAAAUCGAGUUGUAAGUGGGAUAUCAAUUCGUUAUUAGGAUGAUGUAUUUUGAUUCUUUAGUACAAGUUAUUUUUAAAAAUAUUUUUCAAAAAUUAAAAAACCAAAAUCUUUUUUUGGAUAAAUUGUUUUUAAAAAUAAAAUUUUAUUUUAUAUUGUAAAAUACAAUUUGUAAAUUCAAUUUAUAUAAUAUAAAUUAAAUUUAAUUCAAGUCUUAUUAAAAAUAAAAAUAUAUUUAAAUUUAUAAAUAAAUUAAAAAUUAAAUACUUCUUUAAUAAAAUUUUAAUAUUAAUAUUAUAAUAAAACCAUAAAUCAUAUAUAUAUAUAUAUAUAUAUAAUUGAAUAUCAACAUCUUAUAAAAGCAUAAUUAAUUUAUUUUAUUAAAAAUAAAUAAUAAUAAUUCAAAAUUAAUAACUUUUAAUACUAUUUUAUUUUAAAUGAAUUUAAAAACAAAUAAAGUUUAAUUUUUUAAAAGUAUAAAUGAGCUAAAUUUUUCAUUACAUUAGUAUAUACAUUUAUUACUCAAUUAUCGACAUGGUACUCUAAAUUUUUUUAUUUAAUUUAUAAUUAAUUAAUCAUUUUUUUAUUUCAAAUCAUUCUUACAAAUUAAAAGAUUCAUUAAAGAAUUUAAGUCUAUUAUUUUUUAUACUCAUUAUAUAUAGUUUUUGAGUUUCAUAUUAGCUUUAAAAAUUAUUAAAUUUAUUAAUAAAUUUAAUACAAAGUUUUGCUUGGUUUGAAAUCCAUUUCUCUAAUAAAAAGAACUCAGCAAAACAAUUCAUUAUUUUAUGUUUUUUUUUUCAAAAAAUAGAAAAAAAAUUACUUUUAGAUAACAAUAGCCAAAUAAUUAUAUAAUUUUUUUUUAAAAUUAUUAUUUUUAAAUCAUACGUCUCAAAUAGGUUUUCUAUUAUUUAGCCAAAAAAAACUCUUAAAGGUGUCUUUUAAAUAAAAAUUAAAAAUUAAUUUUAAUUAUGUAUAAAGUGAGAGGUUUUAUAAUGAAAAUAAAAAAUAUUUUAAACUAAAUAUACAAAUAUUACUAUCAAUUUAUUUCUUUUUUCAUUUUCAUUCUCGUACGUAUUUGGUAUGCGAGAAUAAGGAGUGGGAAUGAAUAUCUCAGUCAUUUUUUCUUUUAUUUCUAUAUUUGGAUAACUUAUAAAUAAUGAUGAGGAUGGAAUCAAAAGCGAUUGCAAUGAGAAUUAAAUCUCACUUAUAAGUGAGUUUUCAAUUCAUUUGAUUAUGAGGUAUUUUGAUUCCUUAAUGUAAGUUAUUUUUAAAAAUACUUUUUAAAAGUAAAAAAAAAAAAACAAAGGACUUUUUUAGAUAAGUUAUUUUUAAAAACAUUUUUUAUUUUGAUUUUAUAAAAAACACAGAUUAUAAAUUCAAUUUAUACAAUAUAAACUAAAUUUAAUUCAUGUCUGGUUAAAAAAAAAAACAAAUUUUUUAGUUACAAAUAAAUUUAAAAUAAAUAAUUUUUAAUAAAAUAUGAGAUGUUCAUUCCCGCUCCUACCAGUACCAAACAUGUCCUGAAAGUAGGUCUCUUCCAAGGCCCUUGGUUAGGAAAUCGACCAAAUUUUCUUUGGACUUGGACAUAUUCUAAAGCCACUGUCCCAUUAGAGAUGAGUCUUUUUACAUAUUUCCCAUUAAAGAUCUCACUAUAUACUCUGAGCAUUGCGGCAUGAUUUUCAUACCACACAAUGAUGGUUGACUCUGCCUUAUUCCAUAUCGGUACUUCUUCUGAUAUAUUCCUUAGCCACUUAGCUUUCUCUCCAGUAAAUGAGAGGGCCAUGAACUCAUACGGAAUUGUGGAAUGAAACCUUUUCUUGUAACCGUGGGAAUAUAUGAGCAUGGAUUUUGUACUAAGGUUGCCUAGACCACAAUGUAGGGUUGACACAAUUUUUGUGGCGUUAGAUCACUUCUCCAAGAUAGCUCACUUUAUUCCUUAUGAGAAUACCAUUGAUGCCUCACAAGUUUCUCAAUUGUUUUUCAAAGACACAGUUCGACUUCUUGAAGUUCCUUGGACCAACAGGUGACACAAGAUUCAUGAAUCAAUUUUGGCACACUCAAUUUAUAAGGACUAAACUACAAUUUUCAAGCACUUGCCAUCCAUAAACUGAUGGACAAUCAGAGAUGGUGAAUCAAACUUUGGGAAAUUUGCUAAGGAGUCCUACUGGUGGCAACCAUGAAAAGAAUAUGUUUUUUUUUCCUCAAUCAGAAGUCCUCUCUCUUGGUUUUUGUUUUUCUUCCUAAAACGACAGUCAAUACUUUUAUGUUGUGAAAAAAAUGAUUCUUAUAUUUAUAGUUUCAUUCAUGACUUGAAAUAAGAAAAUUGAUCAGUAAAACAACCAAUCAGGAUUCUUGGACAUCUUAAAAGGUAAUUCUGAAAACCUUAUUUUACAUCCGAGAUGGUUUAUGGAAAGAGUCAAAUUCAUAAUUUUAAUCAUUCACAUGUUCUAAAUCUAUGGAAGUGUAGCACGGAGGCUGAAGAACUUGCUAGUUAUGUUCUAAAUCUGAAGAGGUGAUUGGGUGAGGGUUUACUUAAGAAGGGAGUGUUUUAUACUAGGCACUUAUCACAAGCUCCAAUGCAAGAAUUUGAGUUUUGUCAGUGAACUACUACAGCUCAAGAUGCAAUUACGGUCAUUAAGAAAAGAAUCUAUGACAAUGAGUGAUUACUUUGCUAAGAUGGACGAUAUUGCAGAUCAAUGUGCAAUGGCUGGUUGUUUUGUCAGUGAUGAAGAUUUGGUACUUUAUAUUUUAGCAAGUCUCGGAUCAGAAUAUGAUCCACUUGUAUGCAGCAUUACCACCUGUAAUAGUACUGAUCAUCUUUCUCUAAAGGGGAUUCAUGCUCUUCUACUCAAUCACGAAAGUAUAAUUGAGCAAUUGUAUGCAACUAAUUCAGAUUCACACCAUUUAUUUGCCAAUUUUGCUGCUCAUAAAAAUGGAGGAAAUCAUGGUCGUGGAAAAGGAAAUUUGAACCCUCAAGGUCGAGGUAGAGGAAGAAAUGGAGGUUUUUCUAGUAGAGGCAAUGGCAAUAAACCUAUUUACCAAAUUUUUGGUAAAAAAGGACACAUAACCCUCACUUGUUGGCAUAGAAUGGAUGAGAACUUUCAGUCUACAUCAUCCGUUACUAGCAGCAACAAUUAUAAGACAACAGUCUACAUGGCCACACUAGAUACAAUGAUUGAUUCAAUGCAGACUUACUUCCGGUAGCUUUUGCCAUAACUUCUAGCAUCCAAUUUGGGUUACCAAAACCACCUCAAACCCCACUCUCAGAUGUUCAUACCUCACCUACCUCACAACCAUCUAUGUCUUUAUCUGCUCAUGCUCCAACUCCAUGUCACCCCAUGAUUACCCGAGCCAAAGCUGGCAUUUUUAAACCAAAAGUGUAUGCUGCCCUCAAACAUCCCUUGAGUUUCUCACAUGGUCCUAUUGAACCUAUGUGUGUAAAGCAAGCUCUUGCUUAUCCAAAUUGGAAGAUAUCAAUGGAAGAAGAAUACAAGGCUUUAAUGAGGAAUCACAUAUGGGACUUGGUACCUUAUCAGCCCCAAUAUAAUGUAGUGGGCAAUAAAUGGGUGUUUAAGUUGAAGUUUCACCCAGAUGGCACUCUUAAUAAACAUAAAGCUAGGUUUGUUGCCAAGAAAUUCCAUCAAACCCCAGGUGUGGAUUUUUCAAUAACUUAUAGUCCUGUGAUUAAACCUGCCACAAUUAGAGUUGUACUAACUCUAACAAUUGCUCAAGGAUGGGAAAUUAGGCAACUGGACAUAAAUAAUGCUUUUCUCAAUAGAUAUCUGCAAGAAGAUGUGUUUAUGUCUCAACCUGAAGGUUUCAUUCAUCCUACCAAGCCUCAUCAUAUUUUCAAACCGAGGAAAGCUCUCUAUGGUUUGAAAUGGGCUCUAAGGGUCUAGUUUGAUAAACUUAAAGAUGCAUUAUUGCAGUGGGGUUUUCAAGAUUCAAAGUCUGAUGUAUCUUUGUUCCUAUAUAAGACCAAAGGAAUCAUACUCAUGCUAUUGGUAUAAGUAGAUGACAUCUUGAUUACCGGAAAUAAUAGCAUAGUAAUUUCGGACUUGGUUCAUGACCUCAAUAAGAGUUUUCUUCUAAAGGAUGUUGGUUCAUUACAUUACUUCCUAGGAAUUGAAGCCUUUCGAGAUGAAACAGGUCUCUAUUUAACUCAUUCAAAAUACAUUGCCGACCUGCUUCAAAAGACAAAUAUGGAUACAAUAAAGCCCUUACCAACACUAGCUAUUUUUGGAAAAGUGUACUCCAAAUCAAGUAGUGAUCUAGGGAUAAUCCAAUCAUGUAUAGAAGCAUAGUUGGAGCCUUGCAAUAUGUUACAAUCACAAGACCUGAUAUAUCAUACAUGGUUAGUAAGUUGAGUCAGUUCUUACAAAGUCCAACAGAGAUACUUUGGAGAGCUUGUAAAAGAGUAUUACGAUAUUUGAAAGGAACUAUCACUCAUGGUUUGCAUUUCCAGCCAAACCAAUCUUUAAAUCUUGUGGGUUUCAUAUAUGCAGACUAGGAUAGCUGUCCAGAUGAUGGAAGAUCAACAAGUGGUUAUUGUGUGUAUCUAGGAGGUGAUCUUAUUUCUUGGAGCUCAAAGAAAUAAAGUGUUGUUGCUAGGUCUAGCACCAAAUCAGAAUAUCGAGGCUUAGCUCAUGUGACAGUUGAGGUGAUUUGGCUCAAGUCCCUAGCAACAAAAUUGGCCCUUCAAUUGAGAUUAAGACUGGCAAUCUAAUGUGAUAACCAAGGAGCCGCCUCACUAGCUGCUAAUCCCGUUUAUCAUGCUAGAACUAAGCAUAUUGAAAUUGAUAUACAUUUCAUUUGUGAUAAAGUACUUAAAAAAGAAUUGGAUAUAUGGUUUGUACCCUUAGUAGAUCAAAUAGUUGAUUUGUUUACAAAACCACUUUCAAUCACUCGAUUCUUGAAACUUAAGGCCAAACUCCAGGUGAAAGAAUCCUUCUUUUGUUUGAAGGGGCGUGUAACGACAAAUAGUGCACAACUGAAGAACAUAAUUGCAACAGCUUCAGCCAUGUCAUCCUCUCCGGAAGCUUCUGCCAUGUCAACUAUUAGCUAAAGAUUUGUUAGAUUCUAUUUUUGAUUAGUUAGCAUUAGCAAAUUAGUUAGCAAUAGAUUAGUAAGCAAAAUAGAACACUCUGCUUUUGUAUAUAUAUAAGUAGAAUAGAACCAACCUCUGUUUCAAGUAAUGAGAAACAUAAAUAGUUUUCUUCACACAUAGGAUUUGUUAUUUUUAUUUUUCUAAAAAUGUUAUAUAUUAAAGGAGACAUAAUAUUUACGGGGUUCUAUAAGAAUGUGUUAUCUAGAUCCUCAAAUAAUGAUUAAUCCAUUAAUUUUCAAAUCAAAACUACAAAGUAAAUUAAGAGAGCUUUCUCCACAUAAAUUGGUUAAAGCCUUUAAGAUUGGCAAAAACCACAAAGAUGGACUAAAGUUAUUCUAACAACUCUACCUAAAGUCAUUCUCACACACUCAAGCCACACUCUAACCAAAGGAAUUAGACUUCUUACUAGGACCACAAACCUUCAGAAAACCAAUUCCUACUCUUUGUAGUACAAAGACUCCUAACAUGUAACAAAUUAAUUAUCAAAUCAUAAUCCUUUAGGACAAAGAUUCCUAAAAUACAUCAAGUUUUUAAUUUUGUUAAAAAACAAUAAAUCUUUACCUUAAACAAAUUUUAAAUUUUCUUCCAACUUUCCAAAUUCAAAACAUUCUUUGAUAAGCGAACACUUACAUAUAUAAUCAGAAUAGUGCAAUUAUAAAGAUGUCUUAUGCGUGGAAUAUUGAAGCCAAGUCAACUGAAAUGUUGAUACUGGGUCAACUGAAGGUAGCUUCUCCAUUGGUUGUGAUAGUGGAAGCUUCUUCCCAACAACUGGAGACUGGGUCGACUUCUCCCUUACACAAAGGAUGUUCGGACAGGUUGUCCGAGCACACUCUCCGAAGCUCAAGUCAGGCACCAAAUGGAUAGGAACCUUUAGAAAGGAGAGUAAAUAGGGGAACCCUCUAGUCUUGCGUACCUGGGCUCUGUUUUAAGAGGAUUUUUAUUGUGCUCAAGGGGAAAAGCACUGUAGUGCUAAGUUGGCACCUUGACCUAAUCUGUAAUAAUGGAAGUGAAGAGAUAGAGGGUUAUGAGGAUAGGCUUUGAGAAAAAAAGUUAACGAUGUUUCAUAAUUGAGAACCUGGGUGGGCAUUCUAUUUAUUAGAUAACAUAGUAAGAACAACAUUCCCUUAGAGGUAUUUUGACAUAUUAUUUGUGAAUAUAAUGGCUCUAGCUACUUCUAGAAGGUGGUGAUCCUUUCUUUCAACAAUGUAAUUUUGUUGUGGGGUUAUUAUGUAGGAGAUUUGAUGAAUAAUGCCUUUCUUAGAGAGAGAACUUCCUAGAAUAGAUUUAAAAUAUUCUUUUUCGUUGUCUAUUUUGAGAAUUUUAAUGUUCGCAAUGUAUUGGGUGUUAAUCAUGACAUAAAAUUUUUUGAACACUCACUCUAGUUCUGAUUUUUCUUUCAAAAGAUAUACCCAACAAACCCAAGCGUGAUCAUCAAUAAAUGUGAUAAAUCAUUUUUUUUCAUUAAAUGUUUAACUCGUGAAGGGCCUUAAAUAUUACUAUGGACUAAUGAAAAAGAUGAUGAAGACUUAUUUUUUAGGAGAAUAAAUGAAAUGAACAUGCUUGGCUAAGUGACAAAUUUCACAUUCAAAGAAAUCUCCAUUAUGAAAUAGUGAUGGAAACAAAGUUCAUAAAUAUGAAAAGCUUAGGUGGCUUAGUCUAUGAUGGCACAACAUUAUUUUUUGUUCUUUAGAAAGAGACUUACAACUCACAGUUUGAGCUUGUUUAUUCAAUUCGACUUCCUUCUCAAAAUAAUAUAACCCCUCAUGUUCUUUAGCAUUGCCAAUCUUCUUCCCCUAAAUCAGGUCUUGAAACACAGAAGAAGACUCAAAGAAAUGAGCACCACACUUUAAAUCUUUAGUCAACUUACUAAUAGAAAGAAGGUUGCAAGACAAAUUUGGAACAUGCAAUACAAAGUGUGGUUCAAUAUUAGGACCAAUUCUAAUAGCUCUAGUUCUACCACUGGUGAAAGAGAUCUUUCUCCUAUUUUAUCUUUGAAACUUCCUAAACUAGGAUUAUAUGAUGAGAAAAUUUUUCAUAGCCCAUCAUGUGAUCUAUGGCUCUAGAGUCAAUCACUCAUGGUUCCAGAUCCCUACUACAACUACUAAGAGCUAAGAAAAAAUUACCUCCAUAUGCUAGUAAUAAAGUAGUGGUGUCCUGUGAUGGUUUGAGUAGUUUGUACAAUUUUUUCAUUUUUCCUUUGGUAAGCAAGAACUAUGUACGUUCUCCAAAUUUUACCUCAAGCUAGGACCCGAUUUGUUAGAAAUCUCAGCUAAAAUUUGAAAACCAGAGUGAUCUCGAUUUCCAACCCUACUGUCCUUUGAAUUUGGUGGCUUACCAUGUAACUUCUUGUAGCAAUCUUUAGUGUGAUUUGUUUUCUUAUAGAAAUCACACCAAAGAUUGUUUAUCUUUUACUUCUUAGGGCAUUCUUAACCACAAACUUUGAAACUUCAGGUAAUGAUGGUUUUGAUCCACCUAUCAUAACCCAUUUUCGGCUUGACUCUCUUUGAACUUCAACAAAUAUUUAAGUAAUCAAUGGGAAAGGUUUGAUUCCUAGAAGUCAACCCCUGACUUCAUCAAGAUCAGGAUUUAAUCCUACCAAAAAAUAUCAGACUCGUUCUGUUUUAACCUACUUUUUGUAAAGUUUAGCAUCCUUAGGAUUUGACCAUGGAAUUUGGACAUAAAGAUCAAUUAAUUUAUUGCCACAAGUGAGUCAAGGCAUUGAAUUAUUAGGUAACAUCCAACUCCCCUAGUUUCAAAUCACGGGCUCCAUUUCCAAGUUAAAAAAAUUGGGUUAAGUUUUCCAUGUCUAAGCAUGCUAAAGUUUGUGCAUCCCACAUCUCCUUAGCAAUGGAAUAAUAUAAGAUAAGAUUCCUUGAUAUCUUAUUUCAUGGAGUUCACAAUCAAUGCCAUAACCAUAGAGUUUCGUGCAUCCCAUGUUGGAAAAGAGAGAUUUCUUGGAUUAUGUUUUAUUAUUGAACCAUCCACAUAUAACUAAGGUGGUCUCAUCCUCAUAUCACCAUUAGAGCAUACGGAGACCAUUGAAGGAAACUUUGAUUAUUUAGUUUCGUGGUUGUAAUUUGAAGCGGAGAAUUUUCAAAAAAAAAGUUGAAAACGAGGCUAUAGUGGAUGAACUUGUAGGGAUGGGUUGAGAGACUUUUGAAAAGACCUCAAAACUAGCAUCCUUGCACUCACCAGUGAAGGUUGUUCUAUACAUCUUUUUGUCUCAACUGAUACUAGCUCUGAUACCAUGAAAUUGGGUAAGAAAAAAAAAAACAGACCGUAAAUUGGAGAUUGCUUUUGUUUUAUUAUUUUAUUUCUUCAAUACAAGUAGAUUUAUAGGAUAGGUUUUGUAACAACCAACCCUUUAUUUUAAGAGAUUGACACCAGCUAUUUUUUAGGAUAUUCUAAUCAACUAUAAUAUCACAACUAGCAAUUAUCCUUAUUUAGAGAAUAGUAAUUAUCCAAGAUUCUCUAUAAUCUAUUUCCUACUUACCCUUGGAUCUCUAUUUUCUUUACAAGAUGCCAACUAGUGGAGGAGCUUUUAGGAUAACAUUUUGGGACCUAUAAAAGCCCUCAUAUCCGUUAGAAAUGGAACUUUGGGUUAUUAGGGAGAAGGAAAGAAGUUGAGUUUCAUCUAGCAUCUCUAUUAACUCCUGUCUUUUCUUAAGCUUAGUAAUUUUUCGUUGCAUUAUUCAUAAGUAACUAGCCUUUGAUUUUAGUCUUAUUCCUCAAAGUUUUUUUUAGAGAUUUUGAGAACUUUAUGUUUCAUCAUGAUGUUGAUUUUAAUUGUAGAUUCUAAGAUGGUUUUCUUUGUUCUUCUAGUUUUGAGUUGUGAGUAGUUUUCUAAGCUUGAGAGGAGGAGUCCAUGAGACUUCUUUCAUGAAAAACUAAUUUACAUCAUGGGGUGAAUGGAUAGUGUUUCUACCUAGUAAUUGGAGUCCUUAUUUUGUUUGGGAAGAAACCCUAUUUUCCUCUUCUUGAAAUGGAAACUUAGAGGUGGUUUAUUUUAGUUUAUUUAUUUAAUUUUUUUUUUUUGGUUACUUCAAGUUCUUGAGGAUCUUAGGACUUUUGACUUGAAAUCACUUCCAUUAAGCUUUAUGUAAAAUGCAAAAUGAACUUAAAGAUUACAAUGUUGUGGAGGUAUUUAAAUAAAAUUUCUUUUGAGCUUUAGUUGGUAAUUUCUCACAAGUGUUUUCAGUUGUAGGUUUUUUUAUUGUGCAUUGGUUGUGAAAAUGAGCCUCAUUAGACUCCGAUCCUUAGCAUUUAAAUUUCUCUUUUAGCUAUAAAAUGGUAGGUUCAAGUGUCAAAAUUUUGUUAUUUUCUAUUUUUUUUUUCAUCAUAAAAUGUGAUUGUUCAGUGAUAUUCCAAUUUGGUCACAAACACUUAAUUUUUUUUGCGAAGAAACAGAAGAUUCAUAGAUCACAACUUUUAGUGAUGAGCUUUUAUUUACAAAUUUCAUGACAAAUUUUUUUAAAUAGUGGUGAUUUAUUAUUUAUUUAUGACAAAUACUUUCAUGACAAAAAUUGAUACUUGUUGUAGUGAGGUAUUUAAAUAAAAUUUCUUUUAGGCUUUAGUUGGGGAUUACUAAUGAGUGUUCUCAGUCCUUGGUUUUUUAUUGUGCAUUGGUUUUUAAAGAUGAAGCCUUAUUGGACCCCCAAUCCUUGGUAUUUAAAUUAAUUUGUUUUUUGCAUAGAUACAAAAUCAAUUUUCUUCUAUUUCUCAAAAUAUUUUUGGAGGUUCUCUAAUUUAUUAACCUCAUAUUAAACAAGCCUCUUUCAACCACUUAUUCAAGAGAAAAUCAUUCCCACUUUUGGAACUAAUUCACCACAUAUCUCCCCAUCUUUUGCUAUCAUUUAAAACACUCUUCUUGAGAAAACUAUACCUGAACCACCAUAUUUUUUACUUGCAAAGACUCCUCAUACUUAGGAAUUGGUACCAUCACAUUUGCAUUUCAAGCAAACACAUGAUAGUGUAGACCCUCAAUUUUAUCCCUUUAGCACAUGUCUUUAAGUUCACUUCCAAUGCUUCACAGUAGUUCCUUGGUGGCCCAUAGCUACUCAUACUACUUACAUUUUUUGAGCCACCUUGGAGACUUUGGUUGAGGGAUUUAUCUAACCCCGUUGUGACUCUUGGCAGCCUUAAUUUAGACUUAGGCCCACUUAGGCACCCUAGACCCAUUUAGAUACACUUGGCCCAUUAGGCAUUACCUUAGGCCCAUUUAGAUGCACUUGGAACCUUCUAGCUUGCACACAUUCACCCUAGGUUACUUAGUCAAUCUUUCAGAAUAGGUCACUUGGACACUUCUUUUGGAAUAGUUCACUUAGGCAUGUGCUUGAUUUUGGUUAUUUAUUUUUCAGGAUAAGAUGAGUGUUGGCUUGACUUUUUAUUACAUGAAAUGAAUUUUUUAUUCUAUCUUUAUUUUAUUUUUAUUUUUAUUUUUGAAGGUUUGAGUUUGACAUUUAAAUUAUUAUAAUCCGUUGCAUUACUUUAUUUUCUUGAUUUUUUUUAAUUGCAUACGUCUUAUAUUUUUUGUUAUACCCUUAUCGAUUUAUUUGUUUAUUUACUCACUUAUUCAUUUAUUCUUUAAUUCCAUGAAUUGACAUUUUGGAUUUUUGUGGCUAUGUGAUUUGAUUUUAUAUUUGAUUUUAUUCUAUUUCCAAUUACAUGAUUUCUUAUUUCAACUUUAUUUUAAAUUUUGCAUGAGACUUGGAGCCAUCAAGGAGAGGAGAUCACGACCAAAGAGGGAAACUUGGAAGGAAUCCGGGCUGCAUAUAGAAAGUGGGCAGAUCACGACUUUAAGAAAGAAUCCGGGCUGCAUAUGAUUUGUUUGAAGAAAGAAUCCGGGCUGCAUAUAGAAAGUGGGCAGAUCACGGUUGAGGCACAUCCGGGAGCAUAUGGAAAGAAGAUUAAAGGGGAUCUGAUCACUUACCAAACAAGAUACGACUGCAUCCUUGGGGAAAUCUCCAUGUGAGCCACACAUAAUGGGCUUCCCAUAUCCACGCGCAUGUAGGAAAAAAUGGAAAUAAGAUAUUCCAUAAGGAGUGGGUUGCCUUAUAAAUAAAGGAGAGAAUCCAAGCAUAAGAGGAAUUUUUUUUUCGAAGGGGAAUAGGCCGAAAGAAUUUUCAAACGGAGACUUUUCUUUUGGAGGGCAGAGAGGACACGAGAGCAAUUCUUUUGAGAAGACGUGUGAAGAACAUUGAAGAGCCGACACAUAACCAUAAAAAAGGGAGGAGCAGCCCACAAAAUCUCCACAAAUAACGGUUUAUAGGUAAGUGUACGCUUUCAAAUUUAUCUUUGAUUUCGUUUUGAUUCGUCCUUUUAGUCUUGAGUGUUUUAAUGAUUUUUGUUCUUUGAUUUAAUUAAUCCUAUAUAAUAAAUUUCUUGUUUUAAUUUCGAUUUAGUUUUAAUUUAUUUUUCUUCUUUAGUUUGGAUGUGUUUGUGGUUUUAAUUCUUUAGUUUAAUUUAUCCCAUUAGAUAAAGUUCCUUUUUUUAUUUAUUCCAAUUCGAUUUAGUUUUAAUUUAUCUUUUAUGUUUAGAUGUGUUUGUAGUUUUCUUUAAUUUAAUUGUUUUUAUUAUAAAAGUCCCUAUUUUUAAUUUUGAUCUAGUUCAAUUUUAAUAUAUUUUUUAUGUUUAGAUGUGUUUGUGAUAUUAAUUCAUCAGUUUAAUUAUUUCUAUUAGAAAAGUUUUGUUUUUAAUUUUGAUUUAGUUCACUGUUAAUCUACCUUUUAUGUUUAGUGUUUGUCGUUUUAAUUCGUUAGUUUAACUGUUCAUAUUAGAAAAGUUCUUAUUUUUAAUUUCAAUUUAGUUCAAUUUUAAUCUAUCUCAUAUAUUUGUGAUUUUAAUUCGUUAGUUUAAUUAUUCCUAUUAGUAAAGUUCUUAUUUUUAAUUUCAAUUUAGUUCGAUUUUAAUCUAUCCUAUAUGUUUUUGCGAUUUUAAUUCGUUAGUUUAAUUAUUCGUAUUAGAAAAGUUCUUAUUUUUAAUUUCAAUUUAGUUCAAUUUUAAUCUCUCCUAUAUGUUUAAAUGUGUUUGAGAUGUUAAUUCAUUAGUUUAAGUAUUCCUCAUAGAUAAAGUUCACAUUUUUAAAAUCCCAAAUUAGUUUAAAUUUUAAUUUAGCUGUUAGUUUAAAUAUGUUUGUGAUUUUAAUUCCUUAGUUUAAGUAAUUUAAGAGAUAAAGUUUAAUUUUAUUUUAUUUUUUUUUGGAUUAAUUUAGUUUUAGUUUAUAAUUUAAUUUGAAUGCGUUAAUGAUUUCAAUUCCUUAGUUUAAAUAAUUUGUGAGAUAAAGUUUACUUUCUUUAAUUUCAAAUUAACUUAGUUUUAGUUUAUGAUUUAAUUUGAAUGUGCAAGUGAUCCUAAUUAGUUUGAUUUUAAUUUGUUUUUAGUUUAAAUAAUCACGCUAAAUAAAGUUUGUGUUUUUAAUUCCAAUUACUUUAAUUUUAAUUCAUUUUUAACUUAAAGGCAUUCGUGGAUCUUAAUUCUUUAGUUUAAAUGAUUGUAUCAAGUAAAGUUUGAGUUUUUAAUAUUCCAAUAAUUUUAUUAAGUAGAAUUUAAUUUCAAUUCAGUUUGAUUUUAAUUUGUUUUAUAAUCCGAAGGUGUUCCUGAUUUUAAUUCAAUUGUUUGAUUAACCCUCUUAGACAAAUUCCAUAUUUUUAAUUUCGAUCUUAGUUUAAUUUUAUUUUGUUAAUUUAUUUAUUUGCUUUAGUUUAAAUAUAUUUGUGAUUUCAAUUUGAUAGUUUAGCCAAUCUUAUUAGAUGAUGAUGAUGUCCUUAAUUUAAUCUAGUAUUAAUUAUUUUUAGUAUUGAAUGUGUUUGUGUUUUUUAUUUCAUUAACUUUGAAUUUAAUCCAUUUAUAUCCAAUUUUGUAGUUGAUUAUAAUUUGGUUUAAUUAAUUAAGUCAAUCACGUGUAAUUAUUUUCAUGUUUUAAGUAUGGUAAUUUUGGCUUUGAUCUAUUGACAUUUAGUAUGAGCUUUAGGAAUUUUAGAUAAUUAAUCCAGUUAAUUGUAUGUCAUUGGUUUCAUACCUUCAAGAUUUUUGAACUUUGGUCUUUGAUUCAUCAUAUUUUGUUAAAAUGCUAAUUUACCUUAAUUAAUUCCAUAUUAUUAUCUCCAUAUGCUAAGUUUGUUGGCUUUAAUAUUUGAUUGGUUAUUUUUAUUUUAAUUCAUGUGCUUCUUGAAAUCUAAAUGUUAGUCUUGGGUAAUAUUUUGUUAGUUUGUUUUAUUAGGAAGUCAUAAAUUUGAUGCCUUAGUGAUUGUUAGUUAAAUUCUUAUUUUUUGAAGGCCACUGGAAACUCAUGAAGGUUGGUCUUACCCUCACCACUUUAAUUGACAUGAUUUUCUAAAUCUUUAUUUUGUGAUUUUCGCUUUCUUUUGUUUUGAUUGGUAUUUUGUUUUCUAUGUUUUAUUAUUUUAAAAAUUAAUUCCUUUUAUUUUAAAAUCAAAACCUUUUUCUCCGAAGACCCCUUUAAGAAAUUCUUUUUUUUUAAAAAAAAAAGAAGAAAAAAUUCAUUUAGAGUUGUUAGAAUAAAAAAACCCCAUUUUCUUAAAAUAAUAUGCAACCAUUUUUUGAUCGGUUUGCAUCUUUCUCCGUUUUUUAAUGAAAAUUUUGGUUUAAAAUCAGACACGAAUCCAAGCUUAUGGUCCCACAUAAAUGGGAUAAUUCCAGGUUAGAUUUGUGUAUAUCAAUCGGGGAAUUGGUGAAACCCCUACAUAAAAAAAAAAUAAUAAUAAAAAAAAAAUAAAAAAAUAAAAAAUCUUUUCAAAACUUAUUUUUGCUACCGUCUUUGUUGGUUGUUACAAUCAUAUCUAUUUUUUUUGGAAUUGUACAUAAGAUGUGUGUAAUAAUUGAUGAUUUCGUAUUCUUUGAUCAUUUUUGCUAUGCCAAUUAGUUAAGCAUGUUAGGGUUUCUUAUUUUACUAUUUAUUAUCUAAGCCCCCCCCCCCUCUCCUGCGGAAGCACACUAUGAGCUAUAUAUGCUAUCCAGGUACGUUCCCUAAUACCCACUUUCUAAACCCCGUGAACAUGAUUGUCAUUGCGUACUAUGCCCAUGCUUGCUAUCCUAUUUGAUUGCCUUGAUAUAUAUUUGAUGCUUGUUUGAUUAUCUUUGACAAAAACACAUGUUGUGAUAUAUUUCUAUAUUAACUUUUAUGUUUCAUGAUAUCACUUGAGAAGCCGUUCAGGUACGCACUUUGAUUCUCUCUUAUGAUCAGACUUUCUUAUUUGACAUGCUAUUUUUUGAAAUCACCUAGCCUACCUAGGUAUCCAUGAUCAACCAUUUAAUUGCCACGUUUCCCUCAACUUAGUCAGUAGAGACCUCUUUAGGGCUUAGAAGGGUGCUACCUCCUAGAGGUACCUUCCUAGUAAGUAACCUGAUUCCCGGACCUAGACUCGGUUUUUUCAAAGAGAUGAUUUUUCCAAAAAUUAUGGAGUCACAUUUUAGGAUUUUUCUUUCUUGUUUUAUUUUCCCUUUAAAAUAAAAAUAAAAUAAGUGGCGACUCCGACUUUUUCCAAAAUUAAUUUUUCACAAAUAGAAAAGCAAGUCUCACCGAUCGAGCCCGCAUGUGAAAAAUACGGGUCCACAAAUUGGCGACUCCACUAGGGAUUUUGAGGAUCAAGCUUGAACACUAAUUGAGAAAAAUGUGGCAUUUAAUUGGUUGAUUAGAGGGUACCCCUUUUUUAGGCAAGGUGAUCUGGUCUACUUGUUUGUUUAGAAUGAUAUCUUAACAUGUUUGAUUGCCUUGAAUGAUCACUUGAUUGCUUACUCACUUCAGCAUGAUUCACUCUCACAUAUGCUAGAUAGGACUUUGAUUGUUUGAUAUUUAUCUGCUUCGCAUGACUGCUUGUUGCAUAACAACCAUUUCUCUUGCGUGUUCGUAUGAUUGCUUGUCUUCAUUCACUAUCUCACUUUAGAUCUUAGGUUUUUCGGAUACACCCACAUCCUUCAUUGUGCACUUUAGAUUAUCCUUGAGUGUUGAGAGAUGGGAGAGCCUUCACCAUAAAGAAACCCCCUAGGGACGCGAGGAAGUGCAUGUGUGGAGGUGAUGACCACCUUGCAUGGAAGCACCCCGUCUCCUUGGAGGCGUGCAGAGGGUUGCGUACCACUGGAGGGUACGAUCGCUUCUGCUAGGGAUCCUUUAACCCACCCAUUUUAUCCUAUAGCCACCUCAACCUUGUAAGUUAACUUAGACCCAAUUAAGAUUUCAUUCCUACACGUGGGUGCAUCUGUGGACCUUCAGAGCUGCCUUGGUCAUGAUUGGGUUCGGUUAUCCCUUAUGUAGUCUCCUUUUGGUGUGAUCAGAGAUGAGUAUCAGAUUGAGUAUAUUUGGGCUUUACUUCUACGCACUUGUCAGUUGAUUCCUACAGAGUCACAUUCGUACCGCACCUUAUCCAGUGUUUCCAUAUUUGUAGGAGGGUUUACCUUGACCGAUCUGGAUUCACUUUUGUGGAUUAGAGUUGAAGGUAGAUUGACCAGAGUAUCAGACCAGUCAGAUUAGAGAUCAGAUCAGAGGGAUAUGGACUCACAGAUAGUUACCGUCGACCAGUUUGCCGCAGCCAUGGCUUCUAUCCAGGAGGCUAUAGCUAACCUUGGUCAGAGGAUAGAUGGACAACAGACCCAACAGGUCCCAAUUCAGGAGAAUGCCCAAUUCGAUACCACAGUACCGCCACCUCCUCCGCCCAGUUAGUCAGUACCAUAGGUUAUACCUUUCACUCUGCAUAGUCAGACCGAGGUUGCCCCGUUUCCUAUCACAUUGCCUAUCCCGACCUCAGAGGACCCACAUACACGUAUGGAUAAACUUGAGCAAAGGUUAAGACAGAUGAGGGCUUCAGACGGAGUUAUUACUUAGGAGGAUUUUGAUGGAGCACCGAUAGCCAGUUUGCUAGCCAAGUUUAGGAUGCCCGAGAUUGAGAGAUACACGGGCAUAGGCUAUCCUCACAUCCAUUUGAGGCUUUAUAGUACAGUUAUGAGGGCCCACGACUGGAUGAGGCCUAGAUGGUUAUGUUUUUCCCUAUGUCCCUGAGUGGUGCGGUACAGCGUUAGUUCGCUUCAUUGGAUGUAUCACACCGUAGGACUUGGGACGACUUGACCCGGGAGUUUUUGAGAUAGUUUGCAUUUAACACUAUCAUUGAUGUUUCGAGGAGAGAGUUAGAGGUUUUGAGAUAGAGGCUAGAGGAAUCAGUCACUUCAUUCAUCUCCCGCUGGAGGGAGAAGAUUUCACAGAUCAUUAAUCGUCCUUUAGAGAAGGAUCCGAUUAGCAUGAUCAUGAGGAGCUUGCAGCCUAAAUUUGCUAGACACUUGAUGAGAUUUCCCCACACGGAUUUUGGAUCUCUAGUACAGGGUUUGUAUGGUAUAGAGGAGGGCAUUGCUAGAGGAUUGUGGCCCGAGUCUUCCCAUACUGAUUCUAAGGGGAAGAAGCCUUUAGGAGGAUAGAGAUCAAGAGAUGUUGGUGCUAUCAGUUUAGCAGGGAUGAGACUUCCUAGACACUAUCAAACGGUUGGGCAAACUUUUGGAUUCUACUAACCACCAUCACCCCAUGUGUAGUAUAGGCCACCUGCUCCCUCCAGACCCAUUACUCCUACUUACCUACAUCCAGUCUCACAGCCUGCUUUUGUCACACAUGUUAUAGAGAGACCUCCUGCCCUAUACACCCGACCCCGAGCUCUGCAGACCACCACUUAUGUGUAGAGGCCAUCACAUUAGUUCGCUUAGUUAGGUAUGCCUUUGAGUCGAGCUUUUCAUAAGCUUAUAAAGGGUGGAUUAUUGACUCCAUUGGCACCCAAGCCAGUACCUCAGCCAGUACCGCCUCAUUUUAGAUUUGACCUACACUGUUCUUAUCAUCAGGGACCAGGACAUGACACGGAUCACUGCAACGCCUUGAGACAUGCUAUUCAGGAUUUGAUAGACCAGAGUUUAGUUAACUUGGGGCAGCCAAGUGUGACCACUAACCCUCUUCCUGCCCAUUCUACACACGCAGUGCUUCCAUCUCCAAGAGAUAUUCAUCACAUGGACCUUAUAGAGGAUGACAGUAUACAUAUGUUGAGUUGGGAUGAUGGGUUACCCGAGCAAAUUGUUUUGCAUGACAGUUAUGAGAUUGAUGGGGUUUCAUUGGGUUCUUAGGCCCCUACACCAUUCAGUUUGAUCCCAGACGAGGCACCAUUCCAGUUGACUCAUCCUACACCCUUGAUUAUUGGAUGUCAUGAUACUUUUGUCCCGUUCACUUUAUGGUCAGAGGAUGAUGAUUCGGAGGGAAGAGAGAUACAGAUUGUGACUUGUAAUGGAAAGAUAGCUCAGCUACUACCACUAGUAGUUAGACCAUUUGAGGGUGCAGCCUCUCAUGAGGAGGUUAGAAUAGAGGAUGAUGAAGUUUUGAGACAGCUACAGAGCACUCAGGCCCGUAUUUCUAUUUGGAGUUUAUUAACAUCAUCCAGUACUCAUAGAGAUGCUUUGAUUCGAGCCUUGAGUCAGAUCAGGGUAGAGACUACCACCACUCCAAAGAGAUUGAUUCAUAUGAUGAAGGCCGACAGGGCCACUUGCAUUGUGUUUUCAGAUGAUGACUUGCCACUUGAGGGUUCAGACCAUGUACGCCCUCUAUAUAUCACAGUUGGUUGUUCAAGCCAUAGAGUCCCAUCUGUCCUGCUGGACAAUGACUCAGCCCUGAAUGUCUGCCCUUUAGCCACUACUGUAACCCUUGGUUUUGCACCUUCAGAUUUUGGUCCUUUUGCUCAGACAGGCAGAGCAUAUGAUAGCACUAAGAGGGAGGUUGUGGGUACCUUGGUGAUUGAUUUGAAGAUUGGUCUAGCCACAUUCUCUACUUUGUUCUAGGUUUUGAGGAUUCCUACAUCCUUUAACCUGUUACUUGGUUGACUUUGGAUACAUAGAGCUGAAGCUAUCCCUACUUCCCUUCAUCAGAAGGUGAAGUUCAUUCAUAAUGGGCAGGUUGUCACAGUACAAUCUACCAGAGAUAUGUUAGCCUCUUCCGAGCCAGUACUUCAGAUUAGUCACAGUGAGGAUGACCUAUUUUUGACUCGAUUUACUUUUGAUGAAAUACAGACUCUCGAGAUUGAGGAUUUUCGUAAAGACUUUGUGGCUAUGUCAUUUGAUUAGCACAGUAGCAUAGUGGUUCUCGAUAUGAUGAGGGGUAUGACAUUUCUACCUAGUAUGGGGUUAGGACGACGCCAGUAGGGACCCAUCAAGUUUAUAGCUGCCAUUGAUCAUGAUACAACAUUUGGACUUGGGUUCAUUCCUACCGAGGUCGAUUACCGUUACAUGACGCGGCUGUGCAAGGAGAGGGUGAGGGCCUGUUUAUCCCACACACCAUUUGAUUAUCCUAUUCGACCCUAUAGGAUGAGUUUAGUCGACUACUUUGUCAGAGGACAAGAGAUUUGACCUCGUAUAGAGGAGAUUCACAGUAUGGUUCAUACAAAUAGAAAGAUUGAGCUUCAACAUCUAUUUCACCAGUUACAGUUGAGUAAUGGGGCUCCUGGCACUUCUGUUUCUAUAUCGAUUACUCCUACGUCUCCAGAUCGAGCUAGCAUGUGGUCUCUAUGCUUUCUAGAGGAGAUCACUGAUGAUGGAGUGAUUGUUGAUCCUACUGAGAUGAUUGAUGGAGUUGUGCCUCAUGAUGAGUACCGAGAUGAGAUGGACAUGAUGACCGUGAGCUAGAUUACCAGCAUUGUUUAGCUUAAGCCUGUUUCACCAUUUGAUAUGUUUGGGAUGUCUACCAUUGAGGUUCUUGAGAGGGCCUAGAUUAUUCCUGUUCCAGAGCUUCUAGAGGAUGAUAAUAGUUUGUUUGAGGGCUCUGUUAGCCCAGUUGAGGGAGCAUCCGACCUUAUGGACCCACCUCUUUCUUUUGAUGUUUUAUCGGGAUUUGUCUCCCGCUUUAACGAUGUUUUUGUUGCUUCAUUUAUGGAUUUGAGUAUUUUUUUAGUAUUCGCCUGCCUCUUGUGAUAGUACCUCUAUAUCUGCACCCCACUCACCCACUUCACAUAUAUUUGAUAUAGAUGAUGAGGUUGCACAACCCAAUCCAAAUAGGGACUCUUCUGAUCAUGACUCCGAUCUCGUGGAUGAGAAAGUUUCACCUGCUACAAGGGAUGUUGAGAAUGUUGAUUUUGGCAUAGAGGAUCAGCCUAGAGAGCUGAAGAUUGGUUCACCCCUAUCUACAAAUGAGAGAGAUAGACUUAUUCAUUUACUCAGGUCAUACUUGGAUGUCUUUGCAUGGUCUUAUGAGGACAUGCUUGGUCUUGAUCCCUCUAUAGUUCAACACCACUUACCUAUCCUACCACAUGCCAAACCAGUUAAGUAGAAAUUGAGACGAUUACAUCCACGUUGGAGUCUGCAGGUGAAAGAGGAGAUUCAGAAACAGCUCAGUGUUGGAUUCAUAUCAAUGGUUGAGUAUCCAGAGUGAUUGGCUAAUGUUGUCCCUGUUCCCAAAAAGGAUGGCAAAGUUAGAGUUUGUGUUGACUUUAGAGAUCUUAAUAAAACCAGCCCUAAAGAUGACUUUCCUCUCCCACACAUUGAUUUGUUGGUCGAUAGCACUGCAGGCCAUUCGCUGUUAUCUUUCAUGGAUGUGUUUUCAGGGUAUAAUCAGAUUUUGAUGACUCUAGAGGAUAUGGAGAAAACAACCUUUAUUACUGAGUGGGGUACCUACUGUUACAAGGUUAUGCCAUUUGGGUUAAAGAAUGAAGGAGCCACUUAUCAGAGGGUCGCUACUACUUUAUUUCAUGACAUGAUGCAUAGGGAUGUUGAAGUUUACGUGGAUGAUAUGAUUGUGAAAUCCCGAGGCAGAGUAGAUCACCUAGAGGCUCUAGAGAGAUUCUUUGAGAGGAUCCGAAAGUUUAGAUUGAGGUUAAAUCUUAAGAAGUGCACCUUCGGAGUGACUUCUGGGAAGUUAUUGGGACAUAUGGUUAGUGAGCGAGGCAUAGAGGUCAACCUAGAUAAAAUCAAAGCCAUACUUGACAUGCCUGCACCGAAGACUGAGAAAGAGAUUAGAGGUUUUCUGGGCAGAUUAUAGUACAUCAGUCGUUUCAUAGCCAGAUUGACAGACAUAUGUGAGCCUAUCUUUUGUCUUUUGAGGAAGAACCAACCAACAGUUUGGAGCGAUGAUUGCCAGCUUGCAUUUGAGAAGAUUAAAUAGUAUUUGCUUUCUCCUCCUGUUUUAUUGCCUCCUACGCCAGGACGUCCACUUCUUCUAUAUUUGUCAAUUUCAGACAUGGCCUUGGGAUGUAUGUUAGCUCAGAUUGAUGACUCAUGGAAUGAACGAGCUAUUUACUAUCUGAGUAAGAGGAUGCUGGAGUAUGAGAUGAAGUAUGUUAUGAUUGAGCGCCUAUGCUUAGCAUUAGUUUGGGCUACCAGGAGAUUGAGGCAUUACAUGACAGAGUACUCACUGCAUUUGAUAUCCUGUCUAGAUCCAUUGAGAUACUUAUUUGAUAGACCUGCAUUAACUGGUAGACUGAUGAGAUGGCUCGUGCUUUUGACAGAGUUCGAUAUCCAGUACGUUUCUCAGAAGUCUAUUAAGGGAAGUAUUGUCGCCGACCACCUAGCCUCACUAUCGACAUCUGAGGAUAGACCAGUUGAUGAUGAUUUUCCAAAUGAGGAGUUUGUUGCUAUGACUAGCUUAUCAGGAUGGUGCAUGUACUUCGAUGGUGCAGCCAAUUAAUCAGGGUAUGGGAUAGGUGUUCUGUUGGUAUCCCCUCAGAAUGAUCACAUUCCGAGGUCUGUUCGUUUGACAUUCUCUUAUCGACAUUCUAUCACGAAUAAUAUAGUUGAGUAUGAGGCUUGUAUCCUUGGUUUAGAGACUGCGUUGGAGCUUGACAUUAAACAGAUAGAGGUAUUUGGUGACUCCAAUCUGGUACUUAGACAAAUUCAGGGAGACUGGAAGACUAGGGACGUAAAGCUUAGGCCGUAUCACGCUUAUUUGGAGUUACUGAUUACGAGAUUUGAUGACUUGAGAUAUGUUCAUCUGCCCAGAGCGCAGAACCGAUUUGCCGAUGCCUUAGCUACCCUAACUUCUUCUAUGGACAUUCCGAUUGAUGUAGUUGUACGUCCAUUGCUGAUUGAGUUGAGAUUUGCACCUACCUACUAUUGUUUGAUUGGAGAAACAGAGGUCCAGGAUGAUCUACCUUGGUAUCAUGACAUUUAUCAGUUUCUUAGAUUUGGCACAUACCCUGAGGUAGCCACUGCCAAGGAUCAGAGAGCACUGAGGCAUUUGCCUAUUAGAUUUGUGAUUUGUGGAGAUACUUUAUAUAGGCGAUCAGCUGAUGGUAUGCUUCUAUUAUGUUUAGAUUGAGCCUCUAUAGAUCGAGUGAUGAGAGAAGUUCAUGCAGGAGUUUGUGGUCCACAUAUGGGAGGACACAUGCUGGCUAGUAAAAUUAUGAGGAUAGGUUAUUUCUGGUUGACUAUGGAGACAGAUUGUUGUCAGUUUGUUUAGAAAUGCCCAGAGUGUUAGAUUCAUGGUGAUCUCAUUCAUGCACCGCCAUCAGAGUUACACACUUUGACCUCGCCAUGGCCAUUUUCAGUAUGGGGUAUUGAUAUUAUUGGGAAGGUUUCACCAAAAUCUUCAUGUGGUCAUGAGUUCAUCCUAGUUGCCAUAGAUUAUUUCACCAAGUGGGUGGAAACCGCAUCAUAUGCGAGGUUGACAUUUGCUAGGGUUGCCAGUUUCAUCAAGUUACACAUCAUUUGUCGUUAUGGGGUUCCCCAUGAGUUGAUUUCAAAUAGAGGGGUGCACUUCCAAGCUGAGGUAGAUACUUUGUUACAGAAGUAUGGCAUCCGACAUCAUAGAUCUUCAGCAUAUAGGCCACAGACCAACAAGGCAAUAGAGGCUGCGAAUAAGAAUAUUAAGAGGAUUUUGAGGAAAAUGGUUGAAACUUCUCGAGAUUGGUCAAAGAAACUCCCUUUUGCAUUGUGGGCAUACUGUACCUCUUUUCGCAGCUCUACAGGAGCUACACCUUACUCGCUAAUGUAUGGUAUGAAGGUUGUUUUGCCGGUUGAGACAGAGAUGGGUUCUUUGAGAGUAAUCCUUAAGCAGCAGAUUUCUGAGACAGAGUGGGUUUAGGCUCGGUUUGACCAGCUUAACCUUUUAGAUGAGAAGAGAUUGAGAGCAACCAAUCAUGUUCAGGCCUAUCAGAGGAAGAUGGCUCGUGCCUUCAGGAAACGGGUUAAGCCUAGACCAUUACAAAAAUGGGAUUUAGUUUUAAGGAUUCUCAGAGGUUUGAUUGGAGACCUUAGAGGAAGUUUAGACCUAGUUGGAGUGGGCCUUAUGUUAUUUGAGAGUUGACUCCAGAAGGGGCUGCAUGGUUGACUGACUUAGAUGAAAACCAGUUUUCAAAGCCUACCAAUGUGGAUCAACUGAAGAAGUAUUAUGUUUGAGAUUAGGGUCGCAGGAUGGAUGGCCAUCAUUUCAGUCAGCCUUACACCUUAUCACAUUUAUUAAUGUAUUAAACCGUUGCUAGCCUAUUGAACCCCACAUGGUAUGUUAUAGCCUUAUUUCUUUCUUAUAGCCUUAAUUACCAUUUCUAUACCCUGGUUAGGGCCCUUUGAUGUUUAUGCAUGCUUUGCUAGGAAAGUCUCAUGAGUUUUAGACUUAUAGGCCUAUUUUCUCAUUCUUGUUACCAUCCCCUUAUCACCCCCGUUUGUUCUAUUUUACUAUCAUCACAUUUUCAUUAUCUUAUUGUGUUUAUCAUUAUUUGCUUCAUCUUAUCUCUUCUCUUUCUUGGGUUGAUGAUUCUUCACAUCUUGGUGCAAAAGAGGGCAGUCAUAUCACUCCAUCCAUCCCAUCAAUUGGCAUCGAUUCAGAGAUUUUAGUUUGAGAGGUUGUCUCAUGGGUUGGGGUUCAUGUAUUCAUCAGUGGUUUGAGAGAGUUUGUUCACUCCUUGUAUCUUUCCCAUUGGAGUCCGAUUUAUUGAUGAUCAGAAGAUGCACAUUCAAAAAAAAAAAAAAAAACGCAAUGACAUGUUUGUGUAUGGUAUCUUGCUCCAUUGGGCACUUAUAUCACCUUUUGAGGUUUAUUUACUAGGUAUAUUAGUCAUUGUGGGUUCUUGUGAGAUUUUUAUACGAGUUUUCACUCCUUGAGCCACUCUUGUUAUGCAUUUGGAGUGUUGGGGGUUCAUGUGAGGGUUCUAUGGUAUCCUAUGCUUCUUGGGUCAUGGUAGAUAUGUGUUAGGUAUGAGAGAUGAGUGACCUUUUACUAGGGUCUCCAGAUCAUUGUCUUAUCCACUAUUACAUCGUUGGUUAUAUGACUUUGCUUUAUUGUACUGAUAUGGAUUGAUCAUCAUUCAUUCCCCUUUCUUAUUGCCUUACUUUGUAUCUCCUUACCCAUUUCCAGAUCUUCAUUCCACUUUUUAUCCAUUUCCUACAUAUUGAUACACGUUUUUUGAUUCGAUACCUUAUUCACAUCAUUUACAUGUUUCAUUGAUGGUUUGACCACUCAUCCUUUCUCUCAUUUCGCCCUUGACAUUUCCUUUGGUUACCUUUAGGUCCAUGGCUCAUGAGGUUUUUUUCUAUGCAUUACAUCUUAUACACGAGAGUAUGGGUUUGAUCAUUGGGUAUUUGAGCCUAGUUUCCCUUCAUUUCUUUCAUCCUAUCACCUUGACCUACGUUAUGUCUCGUGUCUUAAGACCACCCUGAGGCCAUGAGAUCAGGCGUUAUCUUUGACAGUCUUCACUUGGACAGGCUUUUGUAGACUGGUUGAAGUAUAGUCGUUACCAUGUUCUCUUUUAUGGAAGAUACUUUUGGAAGAAUUUGGUCUCUCUCUUGCUUGACAUAUUGAUGUUUGAUGGAUUUUUGAGUUUGAAGACAAUUCAUUGAUGAUAUCGGAUUUAUCCUUUUGUCGACAUCAGAUAUCCAUACUGGGGCAUAUUCCCCUUUCAUUCGGUUGAGAUGAGCCCCUAGUGGAGCACUUUCUUUGAGUUUGGGCUUAUUUUCACUGAUUCGAGAUUCCUAAUAGAGUAUGUUGAGAUGAUAUCAGUUAUAGUGGAGCAUUAUUGAGCUUAUUGACAGUUUUUAUGAUUCUAGGUUCCAUUUGCGGAGUAUUUUUGAGAUAGACUAGUGGAUCAUUUUUAAGUUGGAGGCAAUUUUCAGUGCAGUGUAUAGAUCUUAUAUAUUGGGGUAUAUUUUCCCAUUUUGAGGUCACCAGAUUCCCAUCAGAUUUAGUUAGGGAUUCAUCAGAGAAGUGCUUCUACUCUCGAGAUUAUCAUAUUCCUUAUCAUUUUGGUUAUUCAUUUGAGAUCAGAUUUAAAGUGUCUUCCUUGAGCCAUCGGCUGAUACUUCAUUCUGAUUUCUUAGCGGAUUAUUGUUGAGUUGGAGACAGUUGAUUGAUGAUGUUAGAUUCAUCAUUUUGAUUGUGCAUCAGAUAUCCACACUAGGGCAUAUUUCCCCUUUUCUUUGAGGUUUCUAGUUGUUGUUGGAUGAUAUGACUAUUCCUAUCCAUGGUUAUAGAGAUGUUUGAUUGAUUUUGACGGAUUCUUUAUUGUACAUCAGAUAUCCAUACUGGGGCAUAUUCCCCUUUCCAUGAUGAGAUUAUGUUCGGGCAGCAGUACAUAGAUGGAUGAUCAUUGUUGGUUGUUUAUCUCAUAACUUCGACAUCAUAUAUCCAUACUGGGGCAUAUUCCUCUCUCCUUUACGAGAUUUGUUUGGGUAGUGGUAUGAGGAUGGAUGAUUAGUGUCGGUUGUUUACCUCAUGACUUUGAUAUCAAAUCUUAUACUGGGGCAUAUUUCCCCAUUUUCUUUUAGUAUCCUUGAGAUUGAGACAGUGGCCAGCUUAGUUUUAGAUUGAGUGCCAGUCUGGAGUUUCCGACGAUUGACUUCAUUAGGACCCCCCUAUAAGGAUUUGUUGAGAUAGAGAUGGAUCAUAUCGGGUUUUACCCGAGGAGCAUGGGUGGAUCCUUUAGCCAAAUGUUCAUAGGAUAGAUUUGUUUUCGUCAUUGUUACCUUGAAGAUUGGAUUACCCAGAUGAGCAGUAUUUUGUGCACUUUGAGAUUUGUUUUUAGAUAAGCCACAAUAUACACACUUUGAGAUUUACCUUUUGAGAUCCGUCGACAGAGCAGCUUUUCAGACACAGAGAGAGUUCUUUCAGUUUAGACUUUUCAGAGGUUUGUCAUGAUACAUCGGUUUCUGACCUAUUGAUUUCAACGGAUGAUUGAUUUACUGGUUGUUUCAACACUGCAAGCACCCUAGAUACUGGGGCAUAUUUCCCUUCUUGAGUUCAGUAGUCCAACUCUUGGCAUUUUGAGUGUAUGGUUUUGAGCCUAUUUAUUUCCUAUCCACUUUCGAGUUAGUCUUAUUUAUCUGUUGCUUCUAGACCCUGAGUCUUACAGCCCUGAGCUAUCCACUCCUUCUACGCCCUGAGCCUCGUAACCCUGAGCUAUCAUUUUCCUCUUAGUCCUUGAGCCUCAUAGCCUUGAGCUAUCCAUUCCUUCUAGGCCCUAAGUCUCAUAGCCCUAAGCCAUCCUUCUCCUCUUAGGCCCUGAGCUUCGUAGCCUUGAGCUAUCCUUUUCCUCUUAGGCCCUGAGCCUCGUAGCCCUGAACUAUCACUUCUUAUUUAAGACCCAGAGUCUUUCCAGCCCUGAGCUAAGCCUGCAUCAUUUGGUCGCCCAUGAGUGGUAUGACCUGGAGUUUGCGUAUCGCACUCUCUUUCUAGUUGAUCAGUCAUAGAGCUCCGAGCUCAUGGCCCUGAGCUAUUCGUUGUAACCCUGAGUUACUCAUUGCAUCAUGACCCAGAGUCAUUCAUUCCAUCCAUAGCCUUGAGCUAUUCAUUGUAACCCUGAGUUACUCAUUGCACCAUGACCUAGAGUCAUUCAUGACAUCUUGAGCCUUGAGCUCACGACCCAGAGUCAUUUGCAUCCUUCACAUCCCUGAGAUGUUUCGUUUCAUCAUUCUAGCCAAUUGUGAGUGGCCUCGACCCGGCACCAUGAGCCGAAAAGCAUCCUGAUCGGCUAUCCGUUUAGAGCCCUGAGUUCUCGACCUAGAGUCGAUUUUCAUUUAUGACCUAGAGUAAUUUCUUUCCAUUUAGAGCCCUGGGCUCAUGACCUGGAGUCAUUCACUCCAUCUAUGACCCAUAGUCAUUCUUAGCAUUUAUAGCCCUGAGCUCGCAACCCAGAGUCGUUUAUCCUAUUCAUGACCCAGAGUCAUUUAUCCUAUUUCCGACCAUGAGUCAUUUAUCCUAUUUUUGACCUAGAGUCGUUCAUCCUAUCCAUGACCUAGAGUCAUUCAUCUCAUCCAUGACUUUGAGUCAUCAUUUUCAUAUAUUUCCAUCUUUGUGCUACUUGUCACAUACCUUUAUCUCUUUACUGUCAUUCUCCCCACAUAGAGUAGUUUCAUCCUUGUCGUUGAAGCCUUGUGUUCCAACCUUUCUCUCGCCAUGUGCUAAGACAAAAUCUCUGGUCCUUCUUUAGUUCUUCGGUAUAGUUCACUUUGUUCCAUUCAUUAUUCGUAUUUUUACUCACAUUCAUUACACUCGCAAUCUAUACCGAAGAGGGGCAUAUUUGUAUACCCUCAAUUUUGUCCCUUUAGCACAUGUCUUUAAGUUCACUUUCAAUGUUCCACAGUAGUUCUUUGGUGGCCCAUAACUACUCAUACUACUUACCUUUUUUGAGCCACCUCAGAGACUUUGUUGAGGGAUUUAUCUAACCUCAUUGUGACUCUUGGCAGCCCUAAUUUAGACUUAGGCCCACUUAGGCACCCUAGACCCAUUUAGAUACACUUGGCCCAUUAGGCAUCACCUUAGGCCCAUUUAGAUGCACUUGACACCUUCUAGCUUGCACACAUUCACCCUAGGUCACUUAGACAAUCUUUCAGAAUAGGUCACUUGGACACUUCUUUUGGAAUAGUUCACUUAGGCAUGUGCUUGAUUUUGGUUACUUAUUUUUCAGGAUAAGAUGAGUGUUGGCUUGACUUUUUAUUACAUGAAAUGAAUUUUUUAUUCUAUCUUUAUUUUAUUUUUAUUUUUAUUUUUGAAGGUUUGAGUUUGACAUUUAAAUUAUUAUAAUCCGUUGCAUUACUUUAAUUUCUUGAUUUUUUUUAAUUGCAUACGUCUGAUAUUUAUUUUUAUACCCUUACCAAUUUAUUUGUUUAUUUACUCACUUAUUCAUUUAUUCCUUAAUUCCAUGAAUUGACAUUUUGGAUUUUUGUGGCUAUGUGAUUUGAUUUUCUAUUUUAUUUUAUUUUAUUUCCAAUUACAUGAUUUCUUAUUUCAACUUUAUUUUUAAUUUUGCAUGAGACUUGGAGCCAUCAAGGAAAGGAAAUCACGGCCAAAUAGGGAAACUUGGAAGGAAUUCGGGCUGCAUAUUAUUUGCUUGAAGAAAGAAUCCGAGCUGCAUAUAGAAAGUGGGCAGAUCAUGGCUGAGGAACAUCCGGGAGCAUAUGGAAAGAAGAUUAAAGGGGAUCUGAUCACUUACCAAACAAGAUACGACUGCAUCGUUGGGGAAAUCUCCAAGUGAGCCACACAUAAUGGACUUCCCAUAUCCACGCACACGUAGGAAAAAAUGGAAAUAAGAUAUUCCAUAAAGAGUGGGUUGCCUUAUAAAUAAAGGAGAGAAUCCAAGCAUAAGAGGAAUUUUUUUUUCGAAGGGGAAUAGGCGGAAAGAAUUUUCACAUGGAGACUUUUCUUUUGGAGGGCAGAGAGGACACGAGAGCAAUUCUUUUGAGAUGACUCGCGAAGAACUUUGAAGAGCCGACACAUAACCAUAAAAGAGGGAGGAACAACCCACAAAAUCUUCACAAAUAACGGUUUAUAGGUAAGUGUACGCUUUCAAAUUUAUCUUUGAUUUCGUUUUGAUUCAUCCUUUUAGUCUUGAGUGUUUUAAUGAUUUUAGUUCUUUGAUUUAAUUAAUCCUAUCUAAUAAAUUUCUUGUUUUAAUUUCGAUUUAGUUUUAAUUUAUUUUUCUUUUUUAGUUUGGAUGUGUUUGUGGUUUUAAUUCUUUAGUUUAAUUUAUCCCAUUAGAUAAAGUUCCCUUUUUUUUUAUUCCAAUUCGAUUUAGUUUUAAUUUAUCUUUUAUGUUUAGAUGUGUUUGUAGUUUUCUUUAAUUUAAUUGUUUCUAUUAUAAAAGUCCCUAUUUUUAAUUUUGAUCUAGUUCAAUUUUAAUAUAUUUUUUAUGCUUAGAUGUGUUUGUGAUAUUAAUUUGUCAGUUUAAUUAUUUCUAUUAGAAAAGUUUUGUUUUUAAUUUUGAUUUAGUUCACUGUUAAUCUACCUUUUAUGUUUAGUGUUUGUCGUUUUAAUUCGUUAGUUUAACUGUUCAUAUUAGAAAAGUUCUUAUUUUUAAUUUCAAUUUAGUUCAAUUUUAAUCUAUCUCAUAUAUUUGUGAUUUUAAUUCGUUAGUUUAAUUAUUCCUAUUAGUAAAGUUCUUAUUUUUAAUUUCAAUUUAGUUCGAUUUUAAUCUAUCCUAUAUGUUUUUGCGAUUUUAAUUCGUUAGUUUAAUUAUUCGUAUUAGAAAAGUUCUUAUUUUUAAUUUCAAUUUUAAUCUCUCUUAUAUGUUUAAAUGUGUUUGAGAUGUUAAUUAUUAGUUUAAGUAUUCCUCAUAGAUAAAGUUCACAUUUUUAAAAUCCCAAAUUAGUUUAAAUUUUAAUUUAGCUGUUAGUUUAAAUAUGUUUGUGAUUUUAAUUCCUUAGUUUAAGUAAUUUAAGAGAUAAAGUUUAAUUUUAUUUUAUUUUUUUGGAUUAAUUUAGUUUUAGUUUAUAAUUUAAUUUGAAUGCGUUAAUGAUUUCAAUUCCUUAGUUUAAAUAAUUUGUGAGAUAAAGUUUACUUUCUUUAAUUUCAAAUUAACUUAGUUUUAGUUUAUGAUUUAAUUUGAAUGUGUUAGUGAUCCUAAUUAGUUUGAUUUUAAUUCGUUUUUAGUUUAAAUAAUCACGCUAAAUAAAGUUUGUAUUUUUAAUUCCAAUUACUUUAAUUUUAAUUCGUUUUUAACUUAAAAGCAUUCGUGGAUCUUAAUUCUUUAGUUUAAAUGAUUGUAUUAAGUAAAGUUUGAGUUUUUAAUAUUCCAAUAACUUUAUUAAGUAGAAUUUAAUUUCAAUUCAGUUUGAUUUUAAUUUGUUUUAUAAUCUGAACGUGUUCAUGAUUUUAAUUCAAUUGUUUGAUUAACCCUCUUUAACAAAUUCCAUAUUUUUAAUUUCGAUCUUAGUUUAAUUUUAUUUUGUUAAUUUAUUUAUUUGCUUUAGUUUAAAUAUAUUUGUGAUUUCAAUUUGAUAGUUUAGCCAAUCUUAUUAGAUGAUGAUGUCCUUAAUUUAAUCUAGUAUUAAUUAUUUUUAGUAUUGAAUGUGUUUGUGUUUUUUAUUUCAUUAACUUUGAAUUUAAUCCGUUUAUAUCCAAUUUUGCAAUUGAUUAUAAUUUUGUUUAAUUAAUUCAGUCAAUCACGUGUAAUUAUUUUCAUGUUUUAAGUAUGGUAAUUUUGGCUUUGAUCUAUUGACAUUUAGUAUGAGCUUUAGGAAUUUUAGAUAAUUAAUCCAGUUAAUUGUAUGUCAUUGGUUUCAUACCUUCAAGAUUUUUGAACUUUGGUAUUUGAUUCAUCAUAUUUUGUUAAAAUGCUAAUUUACCUUAAUUGAUUCCAUAUUAUUAUCUCCAUAUGCUAAGUUUGUUGGCUUUAAUAUUUGAUUGGUUAUUUUUAUUUUAAUUCAUGUGCUUCUUGAAAUCUAAAUGUUAGUCUUUGGUAAUAUUUUGUUAGUUUGUUUUAUUAGGAAAUUAUAAAUUUGAUGUCUUAGUGAUUGUUAGUUAAAUUCUUAUUUUUUGAAGGCCAUUGGAAACUCAUGAAAGUUGGUCUUACCCUCACCACUUUAAUUGACAUGAUUUUCUAAAUCUUUAUUUUGUGAUUUUCGCUUUCUUUUGUUUUGAUUGGUAUUUGGUUUUCUUUGUUUUAUUAUUUUAAAAAUUAAUUCCUUUUAUUUUAAAAUCAAAACCUUUUUCUCCGAAGACCCCUUUAAGAAAUUCUUUUUUUUUUAAAAAAAAAAAUCAUUUAGAGUCCUUAGAAUAAAAAAACCCCAUUUUCUUAAAAUAAUAUGCAACCAUUUUUUGAUCGAUUUCCAUCUUUCUCGGUUUUUUAAUGAAAAUUUUGGUUUAAAAUCAAACACAAAUCCAAGCUUAUGGUCCCACAUAAAUGGGAUAAUUUCAGGUUAGAUUUGUGUAUAUCAAUUGGGGAAUUGGUGAAACCCCUACAUAAAAAAAAUAAAAAAUAAAUAAAAAAUCUUUUCAAAACUUAUUUUUGCUACCGCCUUUGUUGGUUGUUACAUUCAUAUCUUUUUUUUUGGAAUUGUACAUAAGAUGUGUGUAAUAAUUGAUGAUUUCGUAUUCUUUGAUCAUUUUUGCUAUGAGCUAUAUAUGCUAUCCAGGUAUGUUCCCUAAUACCCACUUUCUAAACCCCGUGAACAUGAUUGUCAUUGUGUACUAUGCCCAUGCUUGCUAUCCUAUUUGAUUGCCUUGAUAUAUAUUUGAUGCUUUUUUUUUAUUAUCUUUGACAAAAACACAUGUUGUGAUAUAUUUUUAUACUAACUUUUAUGUUUCAUGAUAGCGCUUGAGAAGCCGUUUAGGUACGCACUUUGAUUCUCUCUUAUGAUCAGACUUUCUUAUUUGGCAUGCUAUUUUUUGAAAUCACCUAGCCUACCUAGGUAUCCAUGAUCAACCAUUUAAUUGUCACGUUUCCCUCAACUUAAUUAGUAGAGACCUCUUUAGGGCUUAGAGGGGUGCUACCUCCUAGAGGUAUCUUCCUAGUAAGUAACCUAAUCCCCGGACCUAGACUCGGUUUUUUCAAAGAGAUGCUUUUUUCAAAAAUUAUGGAGUCACAUUUUAGGGUUUUUCUUUCUUGUUUUAUUUUCCCUUUAAAAUAAAAAUAAAAUAAUGGCGACUCCGACUUUUUCCAAAAUUAAUUUUUCACAAAUAGAAAAGCAAGUCUCUCCGAUCGAAUGAGGGCGCAUGUGAAAAAUGCGGGUCCAUAGAUAGGCCUCUCAUUUCUAAUGUAUGCAAGUUUUAACUGUAUACCAUGGUAAAUUAGAUGAGAAACUAUAGUAAAUUGGAUGAAAGAUUAACCCGACGUGAUUUCUUUGUCAAUUUGGAAGGAUGGUGUAAUUUUAGGAAAUGACAAGCUUGCACAUAAUUAUAAUUAUAUUUUGAUGAACGAGACAAUUGUUUAAUGUUCUAUCUUGGUGUUUGGCAUUCAACAAAUUAUGUUCAUAUUUAAUUAAAAAGUUUAAUGUAACCUUGUAAAUGCAUAGUUUAUACUCACAUUGUUUAGAUCAUAUCUGGAAAGUUGAAAAAAAAAAUGGGACUCCAUUACAUAUCUCAUUAAUAAAUAUGUAUGAAUUACUUAUUAAAAAUAGAAAUAGGUCAUCCAUGCCAUGAGAAGUCAUGCCUCCAAAAGCAAAAAGCAAAAAACAAGUUCUUACAAUUCAACUUUUUUGGCAUCCAUGAUGAGUUUAUCAACCUAACUAUUACCCACCAACUAAUAAUAAUUGUAGCAUUAAUGCGAGUCAACUAACAAUCCUUCUUCCAUUUACCUCUAUCUUGGAAUUUGAUCUAUUAAAUUUUCUUCCUUUUACCUCUAUCUUGGUAUUUGACAUGUUAAAAUUGGACCUUCACUCCAUGUUAUAUACGAGCAUAGUUUUUAAGUAGAAAUAGGUAUAGUUGCUAUGCUACUAAAUUUUAUAUUUGGAAAUUGGAAAUAUUAAAAAUGUUUUAAUUGAAAAUAAAUAUAAUUUUAAUAUUUUCAAAUAUUUUAAUGAAAUAAAAUUAAUUUGGUGUCCCAUUUUUUUUUUUCAGGAUCAAUAAAGUGUGAACCCCAUAUUUAAGAAUCCUACGUAACUAUGUUUAGAAUUUGUAAAUGACAUAUAAACAUUCAUUGACCUAAAAACUCUCCUUGAGAGGUUUAAUUAAUAUAUACUGGAAAUUUCCACCCAAAAAACAUAGCACAAUACCUUGUUUGAGGUAAAUUUAGUGGAAUGCAUUAUGGGAAUUGCUCAAUAGUUAAAAAUGAGGGUGUGCUUGUUAAACUCAAAAGAUUAAAUACGUGGUCAACGUGAGAACUGAUACCAAUUUUUCAGACGAUACAACAACCCAACUGUCAAUUCAUAAAUUUUAUAUAAAUGAGGAGACAUACUGCUCCUUGGACCAAGGUAGAUUUUGUUUUUGAGUCUACGUUAUUUUCUCCAAAAAAAAUAUUAUAACUAUAAAAUUGUUUUCUAUUUUUUAUUGUUAAAAACAAAAAAACAUAUAUUUUCAGAUAAUAUCUUUUAAUAAUUUUUCAUUAUUUUUGCAUAUUUUUUUAAUGUAGUUUUGAAAAAUAAUUAUACAAACAUGGAAAAUAAUUAAAAAUAAAAUACUAGAUAUACAAAUUAUUUUAAAAAUAGGUUAAAUAUAAUUCAGGUUCCUAAAGAGAAUUUUGUUUUAUAAAACACUAUAAAAUAGUUUUUAAAAACUAUUUUUUACAAUUGUUUUAAAAAACAAUUACCAAUUACCAAAUAGGGCCCUAAAAAUAGAGAUGUGUCAAUAUUAACUAACAAGCUAGAAAGAGAGAUGUGUUAAUAUUAUAAUUAACCAUUAUAGGCAAACAUUGAAGUCAUUCUAUCAUAUCCAAAAUUGGCACCAUAAUUUUCCAUUUUCAACUUAUUUUCUUUUUACCGAUGUAACUAUGUGGAAAUUUCUUGUUUUAUUAAUUCAAUAUGCAUGAGAUAUUUCAAUGGUCCAUCCGUCUAAUUAAUGGUUGGAAACCGAUAGAAAUAUGAAACAACUUUUUCAUAUUGUUAAGAAUCUUUUAAAAUGUCUUUCUUUUGUCACUUCAAAUGAUUGGGUUCAUUAAUCUUAACCAUUCAUUCAAUGCUUGAGUUUGCAUCCACUGCUCACAUCCCUAUCCACCAUUAUACAUAUUGAUAUAUUUAUUAUUUUUGUUUUUAUUUCUAAGAUUAACAACUUUGGAACAUAAAAUGAUUAGGGAGUAGAGCAUGAAUGCAAGAACAACUUUUGAACUUAAACAUUAAGAUUGAAAUGGUCUAAAUCAGAUCAAGUGAUUUACUUGUGUGUUGGGUGUAUCCCAGAAGCCCACAUCAAAUGGAAAAUCACCCUCACCUCCCUGGAUUUGUUCAAUCAUACCAUCCAUGGGUCCCUUUUUCUGUGUUGCAGUUUCUUCUGUCCUGAGGCUUGCGAUAAGCAUCUCUCCAGAAGCCGAAAAGUCAGUUUCUUGAUCCAUUUGAGCAUGCUCAGCUAACAGGCUUUCCCACCAUAUGAUGUCAUCAUUCGGUUGUGGUGAAGUGGAUGAUGGCUUCCUGGAAGUACUGACUUGUGUGUCAAAAGUAUCCACAGCUGUAGUUUUUAGUUCAAACCUUGGCAAG
rnacentral:lncRNA from 1 species